AUAAUGGUACACGGGACUAUCACAGACUUAGCUUUUCUCUUUACCAUUUGGUAACCGAGUUGACUAUGGCCGAUCCUUUUCCAUUCGGAAGAGAGAGCUUUACUAGAUAUCCAGUGUCAUCAUUGUCAAUGUCCAUAAAGUUUUAGGAAGUUGAUCUUAGCAAAUAGAUAAGAUCAUUAAGGGUCUUGUCAUAGUCUAUUUCAUAGGUGUCCCAAAGGAACUCACUAUGUGACUUAGAAAGUGAUUGAACCACCAACUUUCUCAAGACUUUGACACCCAACUCUCCCGGCUUGUCAAUAUGUGACUACAUCUCCAAGAUGUGAUCACACCUAGACCUUGCCUUGCCAAUAGGGCUUGAGUGACCUUAAACUUUUCAAGAACUUGUGGGUUAGGGAGAAUAAUUGGAGGAGGUGAAAGAAGUAUGAUUUCCAAGGGACAUCAUCUUCAUUUAGGAAAGCUUGUUUCAAGAGAUUUGGGAAGAUCAUAGGUGUCUAAACCAGACAUCUUUUGGGAGAUAUUCAAGAUAGUUGAUUUAAAGUCCUUAAUAUGACACCCAAUAUGAAAUAUUAAGUCUAGGACCCAACAAAGUAUUUUAUAACUUAGAAGAGGGAUGCCGUAAUCCAAGCUAUAAAAUAUUUGAAGGUAGGUGAAUAACAAUUCACCAAUUUCCACCAAGAUAAACGAAAUGUAUAAUUGGUUAUAAUUGGUUUUGAAACUCCUAGAUCUUUUCGAUUCAUUGAACUGUUCAAUAGCAUGUUUCAAUCUCGAGUGUGCCCUUCAGGUUUUGUGACUGGGAUGCCGAGGAUCACAAAACAUGGUGUGAAGUAACCAUAGAUCGGAAGAGGUACCCUUAAGUGUUUACCCCUCAAUCGAUGUGCCGGUUAACCACACACGCUCCAUCGAUACUAUGAUAAACAUUAAGUUACCCUUUGCCUACCUUGUUAAAUACGAGUUAGUGUGCCGGUUAACCACACACGCUCCACUAACCGACUUAAACAAAGUGCAAAGUGUAAUUUCAUGGAUUAGCACCUUAUUCACAUUUUCCUAAGUAACUAAGAUUGGGUAUUAUUAAGAGUUUAGUUACUUAGUAUUUAUCAUUAAUACUUUUAAUGAAGGGAGAAUUCUAGUCCUGUCAAACCCGUUCGGCUAACGACCCUCCACCAGUCAAGCAAGCGGUGGGUGAGAGUGGACACCCAUUAAGUUGCCAUUUUAUAGGCAACAACCUUAUACCCACCUUAUAGACCGGCUUCGUGAAUGAGGCGUACUAGCGGUAAGACUGACUUUACUCUUAUACAUAUAUAUAUUAUUAACUUAUAAUAUUAUAAAGUAUAAGGGUUGAAUUUUAACUUUUAAAAUUCUAAGGGCUAACUUGGAAUUAAAGUAUUCAUAAGAGAAAACUUUACAAAUUCCAAAACUUGAGGGCAAGUUUUGAAACUAUUCAAAACUAAUUAAUUCCAUAACUUAUGUGUUUAAAGUAGUUUUAAUCCAAAAACUCUUCAAGUUCCAUAACUUGAGGUAAGUUAUGGAAGACUUUAAAACUAAUAAAAGAAUUAACUUUUCUUUAUUUUAUAACUUAUGGAAUUAAUUAAGGUUACACUUUUUUUUAUUAAUUAUUUAACGAAUAGACUCUCGGUCCUCCAUAACUUGAGGACAAGUUAUAAAGUCAUAAAACCAUUUAAUUAGAACUAGACUCUUCAUUUUUGUAAACUUUGCCAACUUUUAUGAGUUUUAUGAAACUUAAAUGUGAAUUUUCAUAUAACUUGAGGACAAGUUACAAAAACACAUUUUAGAAUCAACUCUUAGAUUAAUUUGGAUUGAAAACAACUAUUUCACUCAACUUUUCUAUUAAUCUAAGCAACUCAUAAGAACAAGAUAAUUCAAAUCAAACUUUUUCAUGUAAUUAGUCUAAACCUUAAACUAAUACAAAACAUGAAUCUAUUGACAAUUAUCUUUGAAAUUGGAUUAGCAUGAACAUUACCACAUCAAAAACAAGUUUAUAAGUUCAAAAACAUCUUAGGGUAAUGUUCCUAGUCCAAUUCUAGCCAAAAAAGUCGAAUUUAUGCUGUCUGGGGGUCCAACUCGUCGAGUGCAUGAACCAACUCGGCGAGUUGGAUCGAUUUGAUCACUUUUUAGGCAUGGACUCGCCGAGUCUCCUGAUAGACUCGCCGAGUCUGAUGAUCAGAUAGCAACAACUUCGAUUUUGUAACCAGUUUUGCAAGUAUAACAAGAAAACAAGCCUAGGCUCUGAUACCAUUGAUGGGUUAUGAGCAUUCUAACACUCCAAAGUGUACAUGCAACCCUAAAUACCUUAGAUCUAUGUUUUCUCUAUUAUACAUACAAAUAUGAACAUCCAAGGUAUUAUCCAAAUCUAGCAUACAAAACAAUGACUAUAGCAAGAUAGAUUACACAUCUCUUUGAUGUAGAAAGUCUUCAUGAAGUUUGAGUGCCAAGUGCCUCAAGUGUGACACCUCAAAUGGUUCACACAACACCAAAUACACUUGGAAUAACUUGAGAGAAUUCUACACUUCAUGAAAAUCGGCUAGCCCUCUCUAGAAUGAUACUAGUGGCCGAUUUUGGGCAAGAAUAAGAUGCAUAUAUAGUUAGGAUUACACCAUGUAAACCCUAAUUGACAUGGCCUUUCAUUUCCAUGAUUCAUGGGUACAAAAACACCAUGGAGCAUACAUGGAGCAUCAUAUAGGUUUUAGUCCAACUAGAUAAUACAUGGAGCAUUAGCCCACUCUAUAAGUAUGGAUGAUUUGCACAAUCAACCCAUAUAUUUAAUUAGUCUUCUUUUGAUCACUUAAUUAAUCCUAGAUUAAUUCUUGAUCAAUACUAAUUAAAUAAUCUUAUUAUUCUUAUUAUUAAUAUACUAGAACUUAUAAUAUAUUAAUAACCAUAAGUGUCUUAUUUCUCUCAUUUAGUCUAUCCAAGUGCAUGAUGCCAUGCAACCCAAAUGGACCAUGCCGGGUCGGUUCAAGUCUUACCAAUUAUAGUUAUGGAAUUAGACAUUAAUCUAACACUUCUCAGUGGUUUCACAGAGGAUUUCAGGACCAGUGAGAGCACUGUUGAGUACUCGACUCUUGGCUAGCUGCGUGUCCCCUACCUCGGCCCAGCACAUAGGGGAUCUGCACUUACGACCGUAGAGGCUUCGAACGGAGCAGCCUUGAUGCUGGUGUGGGAACUGUUGUUAUACGAGAACUUGAUCAAGGGUAAAUGGGUGUCUUACGACUUUCCUAAAUCGAUGACACAUGCUCCCAUCAUGUCUUCUAGUGUCUGAAUAGUUCUCGCACUCUGUCCAUCUAUCUGAGGAUGAUAAGUUGUACUCGUAUCCAGCUUAGUUCCAAGAGUUUUCUGAAGGGAUUGACAAAAUAUUGAGGUAAUACUGCUAUCUCGCUUAGAGAUAAUGGACACAGGUACACUGUGCAGUCGGACUAUCUCUUGGAUGUAAGUUCGCGUGAGUCUUUCCAUCUUGAAUGAUUCUUUAAUCAGAAGGAAGUGAGCGGAUUUUGCCAAACGAUCGAAAAUUACCCAAAUGGUAUCGUACCAACUCGGGGAUCUGGGUAACUUGGUGAUGAAAUUCAUGGUAAUCAUCUCCCAUUUAGAUUUAGGUAUCUCGGGCUGAUGGAGCAGACCCGAGGGCUUCUAAUUGGGCUUCCCGGAUUUGUACGUAUAAGUGGGAAUGGAUGGUCAUCGCGAAUGUCUUCGCCUUGUCACCUGAGCAUUCCUUUUGGCUAAGGGAAUCUGCUACCACAUUGGUCUUGUCAGGAUGGUAGCGGAUUUCACACUCAUAAACACUGAACAUCUCUACCGAUCGCCGCUGCCUCAUGUUUAAGUCUUUCUGUAUCAGAGUAGUUAAGGGUUUGGCGAUUCUAGAAAAAUUCUGGAUAAACCUGUGAUAGUAGCCAGCGAGACCCAAGAAUUGACGGAUUUCUGUGGGUGUCUUCGGUGCUGACCAAUUUUCUAUCGCCUUGAUUUUGGAUGGGUCCACGUGUAUACCUUCCUCGCUUACCACGUGACCAAGGAAAGUGGUUAGACCGUAGGGCAUCACUACGAACUCGUAGUGACCAUAUCAAGUCCUAAAUGCUGUCUUGGAAACAUCAUUCUCAUGAACUCAGAGCUGAUGGUACCCUGAUCUGAGGUCUAUCUUCGAGAAGUAACUGGCUCCCUGAAGUUGAUUGAAGAGGUCGUCUAUUCGAGGAAGAGGAUAUCGGUUUUUGACUGUCAAUUUGUUCAACUCGCGGUAGUCUAUGCACAUCCAAAAGAAUCAAUCUCUCUUCUUCACAACAAUAUUGGGGCUCCCCAUGGUGGGGAACUCGGUCUGAUGAUUCCUUUACUACAUAGCUCACUGAGCUGGCGGGAUAACUCCUGUAUUUCUGCUGGAGCUAAGUGGUAUGGUGACUUGGCUACAGGGUUAGCUCCAGGAAUUAGGUCGAUGCGAAACUCGACUUGACGUUCGAGAGGAGUUCCUAGAAACUCUUCAGGAAAGACAUCAGGAAAGUUGCAGACUUUGGGGAUGCUCUCGAGGUCUUUAACUUCCUGUUUCUCGUUGAUUACAUGAGCUAGGAAUGCAUAACACUCCUUUCGCAGAAUCUUUUGAGCUUUGAUGCAAGAAAUGAUACGAAGAAUUGAACUAAGAUUAUUGUCGUAGAUCAUGAGAGUCUAACUAGAGGGGAGAUUAAGACGACUGACUUUUUCGUAACAAGGAUAUCUGCAUGAUUGGGACUCAACCAAUCCAUGCCAAUGAUAACAUCAAAGCUCUCUAUGGAAACUGGCAUUAGGUCGAUGGGAAAUGAAUGAUCAUUCAGGGUAAGGGUACAACCUAUGUAUCUAUCGUUGGCGUAUUCUUUCUCACCGUUAGUCAUCUCGACGGUAAAUGUUUUGGUUAUUAGACGAGGACUAUGUUUAAGAAAACGUUUGAAGGAAUGACUAAUAAAACUUCUUUGGCACUAGAUUCGAAAAGGAAGCGAGCAUAAGAGUUGUCGAGAAGAAAUGUACCCGCGAUGAUGGUGGGGUCGGCGACUGCCUCCUCUUGCUUUAUAGCCAGAGCUAUCCCAGCGUUGCUAGUUGUUGCUGCCUUUGGGCUGUUCCUAUUGAAAUGCCCAACUUCUUCACAACCAUAGCAGGCCUGAUCGGUACUCGAUCCGAAAGCUUGAUUGGUUGGUUGAGCCGAUGCUUUGCAGUUUCGCACAAGGUGGCCCUUCUUGCCACAGUUGUUGCAGAACUUUUCACGACACGGUGUAACAACCCGAAAUUCAGGUUCAACUAUUUAACCCUUCAUCUUUUCCAAGUUUUCAUUUUGCGCCCUUUGUGAUUGAGUGUUAAGCUUGUGAGUACGCUGCGCAUACUCGCACGCUUAUUCUGUACACGGUUCCAUCUGGGUACGCUGGGCGUACCUAGGGUUACGCCAAGCGUAACCGGCCCAGACUCAAAACCCUAAUAUGACUUGAGGGCUAUAAAAGGAAUGAGAUGGUCUUGUCCCACAACCACCAUCUUUCAGAAGGAAACCCUGAGAGAUCAUUUCCUUCGUUUUUAUCUUGGGUGUGAGUGUUCUAAGCUUCAAAGUGACUUUUUAAGGUGGUGAGAGAGAAGAGGAGACCAUUGUGGAGGCUACAAGUUGGUGGUCAAGUGUGGAUCUGAGGACUACAAAGGUUGGAGCUUCUUCCUGAGGUAAAAAGUUCAGAUCUUGGCAUGUAGAUUAUAUGGUGUGCUUCUUGGACCAAUUUCUAGGGUUUUGGUCCCAAGAUGGAGACUUUUUGAGCAAGUAGUCUCCAUUGGCCUAGAUCUAUCCUAUUCUAGAGCUAUAUGAGUUGUACGUUCAUAAAAAUGAAAGCUUGGACGUGAAUGUUGAGCCAUGCAUGAGAUCUAGACUCUUGGAGGUGAAAGGAAAGGUGUUAGACGGUGUGGGAAGCCUUUAUAGCCAUGCAAAGGCUUAAAGGUUUCGACUUUAUGGAUUAAGAAGUGUUAAAAUGGCUAGAUCUGGAAUAUGGGGUUGUGUCUUAAUCCUUUAAGACAUUAGAAUAAGAAAGUGAGAAACUGGGAUGUACGCUGGGCGUAAUCCCAGUACGUGCCGCGUAAUGGGUCGUGUUCCCCGUUUCUAGAAUGCAAGGGUACGCCCCGCGUACAGGAGCUGGUACGCCCCGCGCACUGCUACCUGUUGACUUUUGUUGACUUUUAGGGGUUUGGUCAACAUGUGGACUUUCGAGUCAGGGAAGGGUAAAAUGGUCUUUUACCCUUCUAUGGGAAAGUGAAAAAGGACGUAGCAUAGCCUUGGAAGCCGAUAUUAAUUAGAAUGAUUAUUUGUUGUAUUUUGGCGGGGCUAGGUCGUUGUUUUGAGAUUUCCGAGAUAUCGAGCAGGUGAGAUUCUAGACAUCAUACGAGGUGAGUCUUCUCACUAUACUGUACUGGAAAGGUAUCUAUGUGUGACCGAAAGGUCUUGUAUGCUAUGAGAUGCAUGUUUUGUAUGAUAUGCGUUGUAUGUUCUGUAUGCGUUAUGUAUGUGAUAUGUACGCUAUGUAUGAUAUGGGCCGGAAGGCAUUAUGACGUGGACCGGAAAGUCAGGGAGUCAUGGACCGGAAGGUCGAUACGAGUAGGACAGGAAUGUAUACUGGGACUGGGAGGAAGUCCCUUGAGACACAUGGACCAGAAGGUCGUGUUGAGCAUGGCCUGGAAAGGCAUAUUUGUGUAAGGGUAUUUUGGGGAACUCACUAAGCAUUUAUGCUUACAGUUGUUGUGUUAUGUGUUUCAGGUACUAGCGAGGACCGUGGAAAGGCGCCGGCGUGCUCGUACACACGAGAGAGAGGAUUUGAUUUUUUUGUGAUCUUGGGAAACGAUAUGUUUUGAUAACCAAUGUUGGAUAUUUUAUAAAAUAUUUAUGUGAAAAUGGUUGUGACAAAAAUUAAAUUUUUACUUUGAAAUUUAUGUUGUUACACAUGGGUCAGGGAUGCGAUGGUGAUAAUUGCACCUGUUGCACCAAGGGAGGUUACCAGCAUACCUAGUGGUAGGUGCUUGUGCGGUAGGAGUAGUAGCAGCUUGAACUGUUACUACAUUGUGCUUCUAGGAGGGUCCUUGUGAACUCUGACCCUUUCUCUUUUUCCAGAAAACCUUCUUACUCUCAUUACGCUCAUUCUGGUGCUCUUGAUCAUCUUCAUGGUUUUGGGGAUAGGCAUUACUUCCUUGUCCACUGGACCAGUCAGGGUUCAAGAGCGCCAUUACAGUCGUCACUGCGGCAGUAACAGCUGCCUGAAAUAGGACAGGGUCAAAUUGAGAAGGAUACGGUGGCGGGGAGUUGUUGUUCCUUGAGUUGGGUCCUUUCUUUAGAGGCAUGAUGAUCUAGAAUGAUUAGGAAAGAGAGGAUGGUAAGUCCUCUAAAUUGAAUAUUGAGGUAUGAAACAAAAGAUAUCUCAUUAUGACAGAUAAAGUGUGCUACUAAGCGAUAAUAUAUAGGAAAACUACCAAAACAAGGGAAUUAUCACUAAAGAAAGAAUAAGUAGCAACACUUGAAUGAAUUUCUACAAUGUAAUCGACUUUGUCUAAAUACUCCUAUAGUAUUUUAUGGUUUGUUGCAACGACGACUCAUUGUUUGGAUAUUUUGUAAGUUUCAGGCAUGUUGCAUACCACAGUCACUCCCAAGCACAUGUUGGCCGUGUCUCGAAUGAAUAUAGUUGAUCAGGCUAUAUUGUCCCUAGACACGACUACAUAAUGGCCUAGGUUUAACUGCAGCGUACAACACCUAAUUACUUAUGUUUUGUUCUACUCGAGGUUGCGGAUUCCGGCGGUUAGGUAUACUUGUAUACUUUUGAAAAAUACUAAUUUUUUAAAGUAUACUUUUAGUUCAGAGCACUUCGGUCCCUUAGUGUUUAUAGUCUUAUACCAUGUAAGUUUUGGUAUACUAGUUCACUGUAAACAAGGGCUCUGAUACCAAUCUGUCACACCCCGAAACCGACGGCGGAAACGUUCCGGGGCGGAGGACAUCAUGUAAAGUAUCAUAACCAAUGUACAUAGUACGCAUAGUAAACACAAAUCAUUACAUUACAUUGAAUCAUUACAUUUGUUUGAAAGUAGAAAAGCAAAGUAUUACAUGUUUUAUAGAUAUAGUAGUCUAAACAAAAGUAAAGACGUGGCUUCCAUAUGCUCCGUCUUCUUCAAAAGAACGCGGGAUACCUGUCUAAGGAGAACCUGAGAAUACAAGCAGUUUCAAAAUCAGCAUAAAGCUGGUGAACUCAUAAGCGGUUUGUUUUCUGAAAAUGAACAAGUUUCCUUUAGUUUUCUGAAAUAGUUGUUAUCCAAGAAAAUCCCAUAUUUUCUUAUAAGUAAAGUUUGUUUAUCCAUUUGUUACACAGUUUGGUUAAGAACAGUUUGUUAUCUGGUUACUACACGAUCUACUAAAAAAUGAGUUCUGUUAUCCCAGGAAAAACCAUUAUUUUCCUUAAAAGUUUGUGGUUGGUUAUCGGUUCUGAAUGUAAUGUACAAGUAUCUACCAUACUUAAGUGUUUAUGUGAAUUUUCCUGAAAGCCUGGUUAUCCUUGAAAUGUAUGUUAGUUUUAACACAUAUAUAAAACUAUUGUGUGGAAAGUAAACUAAUUCUUAAGGUUAUUAGCUUACUAAAUUCAUUUUUACCAACAAGUAAAUCUCCGUUACCUAAAUUGCGAGUGCCAUAACCAUACGAUAGACUAGAUAUGGCAAUAAGAAGUCCAGUAUCAUUUUAUGACUUUCGUCACCCUUGAACCUGUCGGUUCUACUGUAGCUAGAAGCCAGGUGUGGGGUAGUCAGCCCCGUAUAGAUCUAUACACUCAAGUCACGCUCUCCCUCCAGGAGAUUCUAGUUACAAGGGCGGUCCUCCACUCGCGUAUAUAUGUGGAGUGUUACAGAGUACAUGUCUCCAAUUAUUAAGAUUAACGAAUUUACAUGUAAUAAUGCGGAAAAAUCCUGUUUUAAAUUCUAAUUACAAAGGUCGGUCCUCCACUCGUGUGUCUCUGUGGAGUGUUACAGAGGACGAAUCAAUAGUACUAAACUAAUGCCUUUAACAAUGAUAAAGUGGAAAAUCAUCUGAGAAAUAUAUAAUAUAACAAUAUAUAAUAAGAUUCGAAAACUAACUCCGCAAAUCAAACUGUUGGUUAAUAUGGUUUAGAUUGUUAAAAGCAUGUGCAAUAUGAAACAUUUCAAAUGAAAUAAUAAGUCUGAGUACAAGAUAUCCUUGUACUUUUGCUUUUAUUCCCCCCUGAAAACAUUGAAAAACACGAAAAAUGGUGUAGGGGUAUGAACUCACCGGUCGAGAAAUGUGUCGGCUAGGAUGCUAAGUGUCAGUUCAAGGCUUGAACACGUGCGAGGUUCCUAUGUAAUAUGAGGAGAUACAUAAUUUUAUCUAAUUAGACUUUGAACUACUAAUUAGAUAAGAAUAUACUCUCCGAGGCGCGAAAACACUUAAUUUCAAGUGUUAGGAGUGAUCCGGGUAGCAUCUAAGGGGGUGUAUGGCCUUAAUAUGGAGUUUUCUCUUCAAGAGUAAACUCCUAAUGGAGAUUACGGCCCUAAGACCAUAUCCCCAUGAGUUUACAGCCGUAAACUCAUGGGUGGUGGGUUCUUGGUUGCUAAAUGGUCUUACAACAAUUAAGGGAUGAUGCUAGGUUUAGUUCUAAGGAAUUGGAAUGGGUUUGAUCAACAUAAGGACCAUAUAAAGGAGUUUACGGCCGUGAACUCUCACAUACUCACUCCUUUUGUGUUUUGGUGGUCCUAGGUUAAGCAUAAGUGUUUCUAGUCCAAAGUACAAGCCAUAGAAGGAAGUUAGGGCACCAUUUGACCACCUUAUAGGAGUUUACGGCCUAGGAACCAUUCCUUUGGGGGUUUACAACUGUGAACUCCUAAGGGGAUGGUUUCCUUCAAGUUUAAGGCACUUAACACAUUGGUGGAUGGUUGGCAUUAUUCCAAGGCUUAGGAGGUGUUUAUGGGGCAUCUUAACACCUUAAAAGGUGUGUGUGGCCUAAGAAAGGGUGUUUACGGUCCAAGCAUGUUCUUGGUCCAUAAACUCAUGUUUACCCCUCAAAUGUUAUGGUUUUGGUGUUCUAAGUCCAAUCUUGCAAGCCCUUAAGUCAUAUCUAAGCUCCAGAAGUGAUUUGGGAGGGUUUUAGGGCUCCAAAACCCCAUUAAUUAUGUGUUUAAGGUUUGGGGUUGUUCCUAGGCCGUAAACACAUGUUCUUGGUCCCAUUUCAUGAUUUAACCACGAAUUUGGAAGCUAAAGAUGAUACACUAUGAGCUAGGAUGGAUUACAUACCUAUUUGGAGCUUGAAAUGGGUGAUUUUGGAUCAAAGGUUGGGAUGGAAGAGAGAGUAGAGAGAGAGAGUGGAAAAGCUUCAAAUGAAGUUCUUUCACCUUUAAAUAGGGUUAUAUUUUGAGGCUCGGUGGAAAUCUACCUGAUACUGACGUUAAACGAGGCUUAUGUUCGUACCCGAUUUAGUUGUUGUAACCCGACGUGGUCGAAACUAAAAAUUUUCCAAAUAAGAAUUGGGGAUGUUUUCAUGUGUUUCUAAUGGGUUUGGAUACUCACGAGGUCAUAAUAAAAGUCUUAAAUUAAAUGACCUAAUCCAAAAUGUUAACGGAAAAAUUUAAAGACAAACGGGUUUUUACUGAAAUGGGUUACAGCGACAGAAUAAUUUACGGGUUGUCACAAACAUUCACAUUAUUCCACCCUUUCAAUGGAAAGAAACGAUUAUAUAAAAAUAUGGUUAUUUUUAUAUUUUAUAAACACAACAAAAAGCUUAAGAAUUACAAACAUGAGCACUUACAGGUCAAAAACAUGUAAAGUCGUUGGAAAUUUGUGAGUUAAUGUCUUCGUCGUACCUACCAAGGUAUACCAGCAAGUCCAGUUUUAUAACCCGCGUCUCCUUCCAGAGAGCGUGAUACUUGUGUAUAGAUCUAUACGAGAUUGCUGACCCCGCACCAUGGAUGUUAGCUACAACAAAACUGGCAAAUUAUGGGUGACAAAUAUAAGAGAUUUCGAUGCCUGAAGAACAUCGAGGCAGACAAAUCAUUUGUUAGCACGGUUAUGAAAAAUCACAUGAUAAACGACAAUAUAUGGAUUUUUAUGUGAAAACACAUCUCUUCAAAUAGUUUUAUAUACAAAUAAAACUAAUUAUAACUAUUUUGAGUAUUGAAAAAACUUGUACUUUUCGGCCUAGGAUCAUAUUAGACUACAAAUCAACUCAUGAAAAAUAUAAAAUUUCCAGGAUAAACAUCAUUAUUUUACAAGCAAACGAUUUACAAUCCAACUUUUUGGAAACAAAUACGAUUACUUAUAUAAUGUCAAAGCAUCAUUCUUUAAGUGUAAGAAACUUAUACAAUUUUUGUCUUAAGGCACUAAGAGUACAUUCCAUUCAACUAAUAACAAAAUAUAGGAUUUUCUGGGGGAACAUAGUAACAUUUUCAAAGAACAAGGAACAUACUUUCUAAAACAAAAAUGAUUAUGAACUCACUAACUUAAAUGGUGAUACACUUUCAAAAUCACUUGUAUUCUUAGGUAAACAGUAGUCAGGUACAUGCACAAGUUUUGUGAAGAUGGAGCAUAGUAACUUGAAGUCAUUGUUUUGCUAUUUGCUUUUGGAGUCAAUCAAGUUGUGAUUCGAAUACAAUGUAAAUAUUUUAUUAUUAAUAUAAUGGGUGUUGUUGCUUUGAUUACUAUUAUUCAUUGUUAUGAUACUAUACAUGACGUCCUCCGCCCCCGAAGGUCUCCUCCAUUCCGGUUUGGGGGUGUGACAUAUCAUCUGAAGCAAGUAUAUAUAAAGCUAAAAAAAGGCGGAGCUUCCUACUUCACCUACCACUUCUAUUCAAAGUUUAGUAGAAAGUCAAGAGUCUUCCUCUUCUGAUGAGCCCAUUGUUUUUCAAGAUUCAAUAUCUUCACCAACACAAGUUACUAAUCCAUGCAUUGCAAGAGAUAGUCGAGAAGAGAAGUUGUACCUCCAAAGAGGUACGCUAAAUCUGAUCUUAUUUCUUAUGCAGUUAUUGUUGCUCUUGAUAUUUAUUCUAGAAUAGAGCCUGUGAAUUUUAAUGAGGCCAUUAAGUCUAAAAAUCAAGUGAUUGGAUGAUUGAAUUGAAAGUGAGACGGAGUCCAUGCAAUUGGUACUUAGAAAAGAUAAAGGCUAUUUAAAUUCAAGUCGGUCUACAAGCUCGAGGAACCUGUGAACCUGGAUGAGAAACCAAUGUACAAGGCUUGGUUAGUAGCUAAAGGCUAAAGUCAAAUUCCUGGUAUUGAUUACACUAGCAUUUAUUCGUUAGUUGUCAAACAUUUUUCUAUCUGUGUAAUAUUGUGAUUCGUUCCUUCUAAUGAUUAUGAAUUAGAGAAACUUGAAGUUCCUAUAACUUUCUUAAAUGGUGUGCUUCAAAAAGAGAUUUUGAUUAAACAACCUAAAGGUUUUGUAUUUCCAUGCAAGGAGGACUACAAUUUUAAUUUGAAUAAAUUUGUUUAUGCCCUUUAGUAGUCUCCAACACAAUGGUAUAAGAGGCAUGAUUCUUUCAUGACCGGUCAUGAAUUGAAGAGGUGAACUCGUUAUAGCACCGUUUAUUAUAAAAAUAGUGAUGAUGGUUCGAUGAUAUAUUUACUUUUACACAUGGAUGUCAUUUUUAUUGAUACAAAAGAUAUGAUGGAUAUUGAGAAAUUGAAACAUCAAUUGAAAUUUGCCUUUGAAAUGAAGGACUUAGGAGUUUCUAAAAAAGACUUUAGGUAUGGAAAUUGUUUGUAACAAGAUGUAUAUGAUCUUGCAUCUUUCUCAAAAAAUUACAUUGAGAGGGUCAUAAGACGCUUUAAUAUGCAUGAAGUAAAACCUAUCAACACACCUUUUGCAACUCAUUUCAAGUUAUCAUCCCAUUUGGUGCUACUAUUGAGACCAAUAUGGCUUAUAUGGCAUGUGUACCAUACUCUAGUGUUGUCGGAUCCUUGAUGUAUGAUAUAAAUUUCACGUGCCCUGAUUUAGCUUAUGAUAGUAACAUGGUAAGUGGUCACACCCCCAAACCAGAAUGGCGAAAUCGUUCGAGGGCGGAUGACUUCAUAUAGUAUCGAAACAGUUGAAUACAUAGUAAAGAAAGUAACACAACCAUCAUAUAUAUAAUUUGAAAGUUUACAUUAUAGAAAGCACUUGUUUCAAAAGAAAUUAUAAUAUGAUGACAAAAUGAAAUUAAACUAACGCCGCAGCGUCCCUUCUUCAAAAGCAAUAGUUUACCUGUAUAACUGAAUCCCUGAGAAAUACAAGUAGAUUUGAAUGAGUAGAUCAGCAUUUAAAUUGGUGAGUUCAUAACUAUUUAAUGUCACUGUUUGAAUAAAAUCAAAUGAAAUUUGUCUGUAGUUGUUCGAAAAACUCCUAGAAAAUCAAAUAUUUCCUACUAGUAUAAAAGCAGUCUUCUAUAAAGACUCGAUUGUUUUGAAGGCUUGCUUUUAGAAAUCCAAUAUCCGUUCAUAAGUGUGUCGUACUUUAGAAGUUCCAAAACUGAAAUGCAAUCGUCUUUUCAUGCCUAGAGUAGUAGAUUUGUGUAAGUAUAAAAUCACUAAGGCAUUUGAUAACCCUGUAAAUCAAUGAGUUCUUAAUACUCCAUGUGAGUUUUAUAACCAUACUAAUGAUGCAGAAUGCCUAUAACAACGUUCUUCAGGCAUUGGAAUGUUAUGACGUUUGUCACCCCAGGCCUGCCGGCCUAGCUGUAGCUAACAACUUAGGUGUGGAAUUGUCAAUCCCCUAUAGAUCCAUACACAAGUAUCACGCUCCCCUACAAGGGAUUAUGGUAUAUAAUACAGGACUUAAAAUGCAUACUCGAAAGUACGUGAAAUGUCUCACGAAACAUAGUAUAAAACAGAUUUACAUAUGAAAAUGUCCAUUUCUUCUUGUAUAUGAAAGUAUCUCUUUGAUAUAGUGUUUCUAGUAUGUAAAUGUUCAUGAUUUCCUCAUAAACUAUACCUAUUAUAGUUAUUCAAAGUGUGUGUUUCAUUCGUAUAGUAAAUCCUAGUGCAAUGCUCACUUGUUAUGUAAAGUAUAACAUUUAAAGUGGCAUAAAUGAUCACAUAUAAUUAAAGUAUAAAUAAAGGGUUUGAUUCGCAUAUAUAUAUAAACAUGUUUUAUUUCUAAAAGACAGGAUGUUAUCGUGAAUAUAUAUUGUAUACAAAAGUUCCCAUGUAAUACUUAUGAAUCACAUAUGAUUCACUUGAUAGAAAAGGGUAUAUAGUGAAACUUUAUGUUACACACGAUAAUAACCGUGUGUUUACUUGCAUCCCCCCAUUAAAAGUGUAUAAAAAGCAUUGAUAAACAUUUGAAAGUGUAUUUUAUAGGGGUAUGAACUCAUUUGAUUGAUUGGAGAAAGAGAGAUGAAAAACGAGCAGAACUUCGGCUUGUAAAAGUCGAUUUCUUGGGAUUCUCGGGAUCUCGGGAAUCUCGGGAAUCUCGGGAGUAUCGGGAGUGUAGAACCUUCCUUCGGAACUUUAGUGUGAAAACCAGGGCUUCAGGAGGGCUUCGGGAGCUUAACCGCAAAGUUUCAACACGAGAGAUGGAAGAAUGGAGCACCUAAACCCGGCACCCCAAGAGUUCUAUUUAUAUGUCUCAUUUUUGGGUGCAACGUCGUGGCAAAGGCUUGGCAACAUCGUGGGGGUCAAGUAUUAUCUCCUUCCGUUGAUUGGACGCCCUCAGUCACUUGCCGGGUCACGGCGAACUGUGCCACGUCGUGGCAGACCUGACAGCCUCGGAUUUUGGACCCCGAACUUGUAAAAUCCGUAACUUUCGCGUACGAGCUCUGCUUUUGAAGUUCUUUAUAUGCACACGUAGCUGAAGAUAUGCUCUACAAGUAUUUUUUAGACUUUUUCGGCUAAUUUUAAAUUUAUUUUUAAUUAUUUAUUUUUAACAUGUCGGGACACGAAAAGCCCGUUAGAAAUCCAUAACUUCUUCAUCCGAUGUCCGUUUUCGUCAGACUUUUCACCAUUACUCUACUAUUGUUUAGACCUUUGAUUCACAUUUAGGUUGUUUUCAUCAAAAGUCUCUCUAGCUCUAUUUCAAAAUUUUAGCUGUCUACUGCUAUAUCCGGAUCCUGGAAAAAUCAUAACUUCCUCAUACGAAGUCAGAUUUGCACGUUCUUUUUAUGUACGCUCACGGUUUAAUGUUAUCUACAACUUUCAUUUAGAUACUUAAGGCUAAAAACUAUUGUAUUGAAACUUCGCGUUUUUCGUUUAAUCGUUGUUACCGGUUUUGUCGGAAAUCUUAGAAUGGUCAUCACUUCUUCGUUAUAACUCGGAUUUUAGUGUUCUUAGUAUUUCUAUAAAACUUCAUCUAAUCUUUAGGUUCCCAGGUGUAUUCAGGUCCUCGCUUUGCAUUCCAGCGAACCUUCACGAUGGGGAUGCGACUUUGUUUUGUUCUUUUCAUUUCACUAUCCAUGAUUUCAAUUGGCUCUUCUAUAAAGUGGAGACUCUCGUUGAUUUCGAUCUCGUCUAAAAGGAAGACGAGGGUCUCAUCCGACAAACAUUUUUGCAAGUUAGACACAUGAAAGGUAGGGUGUACGUUAUUGAGUUCCUGCGGUAGACGAAGUUUGUAGGCUACCGGGCCGAUCCUUGUGAGGAUCUCGAACGGCCCGAUAUACCUUGGGUUUAGUUGCCCAUGUUUUCCAAAACGUAUUAAACCUUUUCAGGGCGAGACCUUUAAUAGUACUAUGUCCCCGACCUAAAAUUCCAAGGGCUUCCAUCUUUUGUGUCACACCCCGAAAACCAAAGGCGGAAACAUUUUCGGGGUUGACUCCACGUUGAGUAUCAAAUCCAAUGUACAUAGUAAUCACAGUAAACAAAAAUUACAUUACAUAUAUUUGAAAGUUUACAUUUGUUUCAAAAGUAAAUUGUACAAGUGUUAUACAUAUAUCAUAUGAACAAAAGUUGAGACGAGUGUUCUGAGCACUCCUUCUUCACUAAAAGAUAUCACCGGGUACCUGUCUAAGGUGGACCUGGGAAUACAAGCGGUUUGAAAAUCAGCAUAAAGCUGGUGAGUUCAUGAGAUGUUUGUUUGCUGAAAAAUGUACCAGUUUCCUUUAGUUUUCCGAAAAGGUUUGUUAUCCAAGAAAAUCUCAUAUUUUCUUAUGUAAAACAGUUUAGUUAUCCUUCAUUACAGUUCAAUUACGCGUUAUACGUUACCCCAGGAAAAUCCCAUAUUUUCCUAAAUGCAAGACUGAUUGAAUAUCAUAGAGUAUAGUUUAAUACACAAAACUAUAUAUUGAGAAUCAUGGGAUUACUAUCCCGAAUUAGGUAUAAAAUACUUUGAUUAUACGUGAACUGUAAAUGGAAAGUAGUUUGAAAACCUUGGGAUUAACAUCCUGUACUAUAUAUAUAUAUAUAUAUAUAUAUAUAUAUAUAUANCCAUGGGACUAUCAUCCCGAACUAGAUACAAGAUAGUUUGAUAUACUUAAAAAUAUAGAAUGAAAACCAUGGGACUACUAUCCCGGACUAGAUACAAAAUAGUUUGUUAAAAACCAUGGGAUUACUAUCCCGAACUAGAUAUAAGACAGUUUGAUAAAACCAUGGGAUCACUAUCCCGAACUAGAUAUAGAUUCUAACCAUAGGAAUAACAUCCUGCAAUAGAUAUGAACCCUCUAGACUAAAAACCAUGGGAUUACCGUCCCGUACUAGAUAUAAUAUCUAAAGAUAGAAGAUUUAUAUAAAAUCAAAUCCAAAACCAAAGCCGUGAAUAAACUUAUAUUAAUACGUAUUGUGAGUCGGGUAACGAUGCUGAUACGACAACGAGACCUCCUUGACGCUUGUCAGACGUUAGACAAUAUCCAGAAUUUGUCACCCCAGGCGUGCCCGCCUAAUUGUAGCUAGCAGUUAAGGUGUGGGAUUGUCAGUCCGGAAUAGAUCUAUUCACAAAUUCCUCGCUCUCCCUCCAGGAGACUCUGGUUACACUUCUGGGGAGGAUAUACUGAUCAUCCAUAAAGGGUAGUGAUAAACUCACAAACUAGUACUAAACUAUUCACAGGGUUCUCAUACGAUAUCAAACAUACAAAAGAUUAUGAAACAUAAUAUAGUGAAUAUAGAUACAUACAAUGAAACUAUCUGGCAAUACAUUCAAAUGAUGCGGAAAUAAACUGAAUCAGACAUAGUUUAUCUAAUAACUUUAUGCACAUAUCAGUACAUGAUAAAACGAGAACUAAAGAACCCCAAAUUAUUCCCAUAAUAAUUUGAUUACUUUGGUUAUUUUCUUAACUAAAAUCUAUUUAGUUGUAGUUGAUAAAUCAUCCCUUAGGCUCAGCAUAAUACAUAAGGGGUUACAGUGUUUAUAAGUUUGCCAAAUAUUAUUUGAAACAUAUCAAUGUUAUAAUUCGAAAACAGUUAUAGUUUGCUUGUAUUCCCCUCCCCCUGAAAACAUUGAAAAACACGAAAAAAGCGUAGGGGUAUGAACUCACCGGACGAGAAACCUGACGAUUUAGGAUGCUAAACGUUGGUUCGGGGCUUGCAAACGCACGAGAUUCCAUAGUAUAAUGCAAAUAUACACAUUUGUAUCUAAUUAGGACUCAGAUUAUUUAAUUGUUAGGGACAAACACGUUUAGUCGCGGAAACACCCCAUUACAAGUGUUUGGAGGGACCCGAGUGGCGUUUAAGGACUUGAAUGACUGGGAAAUGGAGUUUACUCUUCAAGAGUAAACUCAUGCAAGAGUUUUUGGCCUAUAACACCCAUUCCCCAUGAGUUUACGACCGUAAACUCAUGGUGGGGUGGUUUAGGGUGCAAAAUGGCUUGAAACACUUAGGGGAAAAUUUCUAGGGUUGGUUUCAAGGCUUGGAAUUAAUUUAAAACACCAAAUGACAACAGUUAAGGGAGUUUACGGCCCUAGCAUGGAGCUUACGACCGUAAACUGCUAUAUACCCUUGAGUAAGUGUUUUAAUGUCUCCAAAUUAAUCACAUGUGAUUCUAAUGAUUUUUCCCUAGCCUUGUAUGGAUUUUUUAGGGACAAUUGGCCUAGAUUUUGGAGUUUACGGCCCAUGAGCACCCUCAUGGCCGUGAACUCCUUAGAUGGGGAAAAUAAUAUGUUUUAAGGUCCAAUACUUGUUUGUAUACACUUCUAGAAUUUACCCCAAGGCUCAUAGUGUGUUUAAAUGGCAUUUUAACACUUUACAUUGAGUUUACUCCCCAUGUUAUGGGGUUUACGUCCCAAGCAUAAGCCUUGGCCGUAAACUCUCAUUUGUCCCUCAAAAUAUAUGUUUAAGGCCCCUAAACUAUUUUUAGUUGGUUCUAUGAUUUAUUCCAAGGCUUUUGGUGAAGGUAUAUGGCUUUCUAACAUGUUGGAAAUGAGUUUACACUCAUGUUUGAGGGGUUUACGGCCCAAGUAUGUGCCUUUGCCAUAAACUCAUUCAAAUCCCUCAGAAUCCAUGUCAAAAGUGUUCUAAGUCCAUUCGAUGAAGUCAUUUAGCCAUAUCUAAAGUCUAGUUGUGGUUUGGAAGGGUUUUGUUGCUCAAAAACCCCCCCUUUAAAUGAGUUUACGGCCUACGAUAGUUUUAGGGCCGUAAAGCCAUGAUAAUGGUCCUAAUCCAUGGUUUAAACUCGAAUUUGAAGGCUAGAGGGGUUGUACAUCAAGUUAGGGAAGUUACCUCAAAGAUUUGAAGCCUUAAAUUGAUGAUUUGGACCCUUAAACUUGGAUUUAGGAGAGAGGUUAGAGAGUGAGUAGUGAGAGCGAGAAAAAGCUUCAAAUGAUAGCUUGAACAUGUUUAAAUAGGUCCCAAAACUUGGACACGGUGGAAUUCUACCCGAUACCGGCAUUAAACGGGGCUUUUGGUCGCACCCGAUUAAGUUUUUCGUAACCCGGCGGGGACGUUUCUAUAAUUUUUGAAAUAACUAUUGUGGGCUAAUUUCAUGAGUUCCUAAGGGGUUUGGACACUCAUUAGCAUCAAAUAAACAUAUAAGUUUAAUUAAUUUAACCCACAAACGAAAUUGGAAUGAAUCAAUAAACGGCGAGUUUUACGGGUAGAAUGGGUUUCGGUGAUGAACAACUUCGGGUUGUUACAUUAUCCCUCCGUUAGAGGGAAUUUCGUCCCGAAAUUCAAAGAAUAAGAUAUAGAUCAUGAAUUGGAAUGAGACACGAAUGGAUUUGUUGCCUCUGAUCUUCACGUUCACAAGUGGGAUCAGGUCUCUGCUGGGCGUUCUAGCGAAUUCUCACUAUCGGGACGUGUCUUUGUUUCGCACAUUGACUCUCUCAAUCCAUGCUCUCAAUCGGUUCUCCCAUGGAAGUUUCAACCCUAGACGACUUCGGUUUCCUCAAAGGAAAUCUCUAGGGUUUCGUUGAAUAGGUACUUUUAAGGAUUCAAGACGUGAAGUACCAGAUGGAUUUUACUAAGUUUCUAAGGGUAGCCGAAAUUUAAAGGUUAAGAAAUCGAUUCUACUAGGAUCUCGAAAGGUCUGAUGUAUCACGACGGAAGUAUUCUAUACUUCCUAAAGCGUAUCAUGCUUUUCUGGGAUAAAGCCAUCAACAGGACACACGCUCCAACAGGAAGGCACAUCUUCAUGGAGCCGGGUAGAUAAGGGUUUGAUGGCUUUAGAAGAAAUUUAUGGGCAAGACUGCGAUAUUACUCGAUGGGACCCAAGAAUCGACAAGUUUCCAUGGGUAUUUUCGGUGCCGACUAAUUUCCUAUCGCCUUAGACGUUGGAAAAAUACAUGGUUACGAUUACUUUGAUUGGCUACAUGAUCGAAGGAAAGAGAUUUGACCGAAAGGAUACCACUACUAAUCCGUAGUGAUCAUAUUAGGUCUUGUUCACCGUUCUGAACACGUCAUUCUCACUGAGGUUCGGUCACGAGGUAGAUCCAGGGAUUAGGCCGAUGCGGAACUAAGCUAAACGUUCAAAAGGAAUUCUCGGGAAUUCUUCAGGAAAGACAUUUAAGGGAAAGAGCUGCUGACUUCCCGUUUCUUAAUGAUCACAGAAACGAGGGAUGCGUGGUAAUUCAUAUCGGGAAAAACUUUUGAGCUUUAAGGCAUGAAAUGAUACGAAGGUUUGAUGCCGAAGAUCACGAGAGUCGGGUCGGGGAAAAGAUCUAGACGAGCGACCCUUUCGAAACCAAGGAUAACAACAUGAAUGAGACUCGGUCAUUUCAUGUCAAACAUAGCAUCAAAGUAUUUCGUGAAAAGUUUCCCCCAUAUAAAUCGAAAGGAACAGAAUAAUCCUCCGGACUGAGGAUACAAUCUAUAGGUACGAAGUUAGUGUUCUCUAUCUUAUUGGUUAGCCGUCUCGAUUGUACUCAAUUUCGAUUACAAAGAAAGGAUUAAAUUUAGAAAUCGCUCGAAUGGAUAGAUAACAAGUUUCCCUUCUGGUACUAGAAUCAAUAAGAGUUGUAGGCAUAAGAAUUGUCAAAGAGAAGUAUACUUGCGGCGACAGUGGUAUCAGCGGUUGUAGCUGCUUUGGGGCAAUUUCUUUUGAAGUGCCCUACUUUGCCACAAUUGUCGCAGGCUGGACUGAUUCCCGCUCCAGAUGAUUGGUUCGUUGAUUUGGCUGGUUUUCUACAGGUUCGAGCAAGAUGGCCCUUCUUGCCACAGUUGUCACAGAUCCUUUCGCGACAUGGACUAGGAAUGCGAUGGUGGUAGCUGCACUUACCACACCAAGGAAGGGUACCAGUGUAUCCACUGGUAGGAGUUUAGGCCGUGGACCCGACGGCUGAAACAACAAUAGGGGCAGUAGCAGCAUGGACUGCUACUGUUUGCUGUUUCUUAGAAGGCCCUUGCGUAAUCUGGGCCUUCCGCUUGUUCCAAAAUUUCUUUUUGCUUCCCCCUCCACUGGUGACUAGCUCGGGAGUGGUAUCUUCCUCAUCAGAGUUGUCUUCAUGAUCGAUCAAGAUUUGCGCAAGACAUUUAGCGCUGUCAUAGGUGUCUGGCUUCGCAGCCAAGAAAUUCCCUUUGGUUGGCUGGGUCAAUCCCCAGAUGAACUUCUUAAUCUUUUUACUCUCCGGGGUAACCAGUCCCGGACAGAGUAACGCCAGAUCAUCAAAUCUUGAAGUAUAGGAGCCUAUGUUGGAACCCUUCAUCUUUAGGUUCAAGAGUUCGUGUUCUAGCUUCUGAAUUUUGCCCCGAGGGCAACACUCAGCGAGCAGAAGCUCCUUCAUUUCUUCCCAAACCAUAGCAUUUGCUACAGGUAGAGUUAAGGAUUUGACUCGGCCAUUCCACCAAGUCAGGGCUUUGUCAAGGAAGGUGCAGGCGGCGAACUUUACUUUAUCAGACUCCGAACAUGCACAUAUUUCAAAGAUUGAUUCAAUUUUCUNACAUGCACAUUUUCAAAGAUUGAUUCAAUUUUCUCGAACCAUCGGGUGAGGGAAACGACACCUCCAAUGCCAUCAAAGGAUAUGGGCUUCGCGUUCAUGAAGUCUUUAUAGGAACCCUCUUUUCGGUGUCCCUGACUGUUCUUUGGGUUUUGGGUUUGAGCACCACCAGAACCAUCCGAGUUCCUUUGAGAUAAAGCAGCUGCCACCGCGGCAUUGACAGCUGCCUGGAACAUCACAGGGUCAAAUUCAAGAGGAGGUGGUGGCGGAGGAGGAUUGUUGUUGUUCUUUGAGCUAGGUCUCUUUCUUGGAGGCAUCUUGAUCUAAAAAGAUCAGGAAACAAGGGAUCAUAAGACCUCUGAAUUGAAUCAAGAGAUAUGGAACAGAGGAUAUCUCAUCAAGACAGAUAUAGCAUCAUAACAAGCGAUAAAACAGGAAAGAGUUAUCAAGGCAGAACAUUUUAUCGCUAGAGGAGUGAUCAAGGAACAACGUGUAUACGAAGAUUUUCUACAAAGGAUUAACUCAAGAAAUACUCCCAUAGUAUUUCAUGAUUCACUGCAACGACGACUCGUUGUUUAGCAUACUGGGUAAGUUUUAGGCAUGCCACAUACCACAGUCACUCCCAAGCACAUGUUGGCCGUGUCUCGAAUGAAUAUAGUUGGCCAGGCUAUAUUGACCCUAGACACGACUACAUAACUGCCCAGGUUUAACCGCAGCGUACAACACCCAUGUAAGGUUUGGUAUACUCCGUUCACUAUAAACAAGGGCUCUGAUACCAAUCUGUCACACCCCGAAAACCAAAGGCGGAAACAUUUCCAGGGUUGACUCCACAUUGAGCAUCAAAUCCAAUGUGCAUAGUAAUCACAGUAAACAAACAUUACAUUACAUAUAUUUGAAAGUUUACAUUUGUUUCAAAAGUAAAUUGUACAAGUGUUAUACAUAUAUCAUAUGAACAAAAGUUGAGACGAGUCUUCUAAGCACUCCGUCUUCACCAAAAGAUAUCACCGGGUACCUCUCUAAAGUGGACAUGAGAAUACAAGCGGUUUUAAAACAUCAGCAUAAAGCUGGUGAGUUCAUAAGAUGUUUGUUUGCUGAAAAAUGUACCAGUUUCCUUUAGUUUUCUAAAAAGGUUUGUUAUCCAAGAAAAUCCCAUAUUUUCUUAUGUAAAACAGUUUAGUUAUCCUUCAUUACAAUUCAACUACACGUUAUACGUUACCCCAAGAAAAUCCCAUAUUUUCCUAAAUGCAAGACUGAUUGAAUAUCACAGAGUAUAGUUUAAUACACAAAACUAUAUAUUGAGAAUCAUGGGAUUACUAUCCCGAAUUAGGUAUAAAAUACUAUGAUUAUAUGUGAACUAUAAAUGGAAAGUAGUUUGAAAACCUUGGGAUUAACAUCCCGUACUAUAUAUAUAGAUUUAAUACCAUGGGACUAUCAUCCCGAACUAGAUACAAGAUAGUUUGAUAUACUUAAAAAUAUAGACUGAAAACCAUGGGACUACUAUCCCGGACUAAGUAGGNNNNNNNNNNNNNNNNNNNNNNNNNNNNNNNNNNNNNNNNNNNNNNNNNNNNNNNNNNNNNNNNNNNNNNNNNNNNNNNNNNNNNNNNNNNNNNNNNNNNNNNNNNNNNNNNNNNNNNNNNNNNNNNNNNNNNNNNNNNNNNNNNNNNNNNNNNNNNNNNNNNNNNNNNNNNNNNNNNNNNNNNNNNNNNNNNNNNNNNNNNNNNNNNNNNNNNNNNNNNNNNNNNNNNNNNNNNNNNNNNNNNNNNNNNNNNNNNNNNNNNNNNNNNNNNNNNNNNNNNNNNNNNNNNNNNNNNNNNNNNNNNNNNNNNNNNNNNNNNNNNNNNNNNNNNNNNNNNNNNNNNNNNNNNNNNNNNNNNNNNNNNNNNNNNNNNNNNNNNNNNNNNNNNNNNNNNNNNNNNNNNNNNNNNNNNNNNNNNNNNNNNNNNNNNNNNNNNNNNNNNNNNNNNNNNNNNNNNNNNNNNNNNNNNNNNNNNNNNNNNNNNNNNNNNNNNNNNNNNNNNNNNNNNNNNNNNNNNNNNNNNNNNNNNNNNNNNNNNNNNNNNNNNNNNNNNNNNNNNNNNNNNNNNNNNNNNNNNNNNNNNNNNNNNNNNNNNNNNNNNNNNNNNNNNNNNNNNNNNNNNNNNNNNNNNNNNNNNNNNNNNNNNNNNNNNNNNNNNNNNNNNNNNNNNNNNNNNNNNNNNNNNNNNNNNNNNNNNNNNNNNNNNNNNNNNNNNNNNNNNNNNNNNNNNNNNNNNNNNNNNNNNNNNNNNNNNNNNNNNNNNNNNNNNNNNNNNNNNNNNNNNNNNNNNNNNNNNNNNNNNNNNNNNNNNNNNNNNNNNNNNNNNNNNNNNNNNNNNNNNNNNNNNNNNNNNNNNNNNNNNNNNNNNNNNNNNNNNNNNNNNNNNNGGUCCCCCCCCCCCCCUGAAAACGUUGAAAAACACGGAAAAAGCGUAGGGGUAUGAACUAACCGGACGAGAAACGUGACGAUUUAGGAUGCUAAAUGUUGGUUCGGGGCUUGCAAACGCACGAGAUUCCUAAGUAUAUUGCAAAUAUACACAUUUGUAUCUAAUUAGGACUUAGAUUAUUUAAUUGUUAGGGACAAACAAUUUUAGUCACGGAAACACCCCCAUUACAAGUGUUUGGAGGGACCCGAGUGGCGUUUAAGGACUUGAAUGACCGGGAAAUGGAGUUUACUCUUCAAGAGUAAACUCAUAGAAGAGUUUUUGGCCUAUAACACCCAUUCCCCAUGAGUUUAUGGCCGUAAACUCAUGGUGGGGUGGUUUAUGAUGCAAAAUGGCUUGAAACACUUAGGGGAAAAUUUCUAGGGUUGGUUUCAAGGCUUGGAAUUAAUUUAAAACACCAAAUGACAACACUUAAGGGAUUUUACGGCCCUAGCAUGGAGCUUACGGCCGUAAACUCCAAUAUACCCUUGAAUAAGUGUUUUAAUGUCUCCAAAUUAAUCACAUGUGAUUCUAAUGAAUUUUCCCUAGCCUUGUAUGGAUUUUUGAGGGACAUUUGGCCUAGAUUUUGGAGUUUACGGCCCAUGAGCACCCUCAUGGCCGUGAACUCCUUAGAUGGGGAAAAUAAUAUGUUUUAAGGUCCAAUACUUGUUUGUAUACACUUCUAGAAUUUACCCCAAGGCUCAUAGUGUGUUUAAAUGGCAUUUUAACACUUUACAUUGAGUUUACUCCCCAUGUUAUGGGGUUUACGUCCCAAGCAUAAGCCUUGGCCGUAAACUCUCAUUUGUCCCUCAAAAUAUAUGUUUAAGGCCCCUAAACUAUUUUUAGUUGGUUCUAUGAUUUAUUCCAAGGCUUUUGGUGAAGGUAUAUGGCUUUCUAACAUGUUGGAAAUGAGUUUACACUCAUGUUUGAGGGGUUUACGGCCCAAGCAUGUGCCUUGGCCGUAAACUCAUUCAAAUCCCUCAAAAUCCAUGUCUAAAGUGUUCUAAGUCCAUUCCAUGAAGUUAUUUAGCCAUAUCUAAAGUCUAGUUGUGGUUUGGAAGGGUUUUGUUGCUGAAAAACCCCCUUUAAAUAAGUUUACGGCCUAGGAUAGUUCUAGGGCCGUAAACCCAUGAUAAUGGUCCUAAUCCAUGAUUUAAACUCGAAUUUUAAGGCUAGAGGGGUUGUAUAGCAAGUUAGGGAAGUUACCUCAAAGAUUUGAAGCCUUAAAUUGAUGAUUUGGACCCCUAGACUUGGAUUUAGGAGAGAGGUUAGAGAGAGAGAGAGUAGUGAGAGAGAGAAAAAGCUUCAAAUGAUAGCUUGAACAUGUUUAAAUAGGUCCCAAAACUUGGACACGGUGGAAUUCUACCCGAUACCGACAUUAAACGGGGCUUUUGGUCGCACCCGAUUCAGUUUUUCGUAACCCGGCGGGGACGUUUCUAUAAUUUUUGAAAUAACUAUUGUGGGCUAAUUUCAUGAGUUCCUAAGGGGUUUGGACACUCAUUAGCAUCAAAUAAACAUAUAAGUUUAAUUAAUUUAACCCAAAAACGAAAUUGGAAUGAAUCGAUAAACGGCGAGUUUUACGGGUAGAAUAGGUUUCGGCGAUGAACAACUUCGGGUUGUUACAUUUUGUCCGCAUAACUCUUUUGUCUGUCUGUUGAAGCCUUUAGUCAUUCCCGAAUUUGUACAAUCUUCUUGGUUGUCUCUCUUAUGAUUUACGGGCUAGUGAGAGUGAUGUCGGGUACUUGUCCCUUGGCUAGUUGUGUGUCGCCUACUUCAGUCCAGCAGAGUGGUGAUCUGCACUUCCGGCCAUAGAGGGCUUCGAAUGGAGCAAAUUUAAUGCUGGAGUGAUAGCUAUUGUUAUACGAAAAUUCAAUUAGUGGUAAAUGGGUAUCCCAUGCUUUACCAAAAUCGAUUACACAAGCCCUUAGCAUAUCUUCCAGGGUUUGUAUGGUCCUCUCACUUUGACUGUCAGUUUGUGGAUGGUAAGCAGUACUCAUGUCGAGCCUCAUUCCUAGAUAUUUUUGUAACGAUUGCCUGAAUCGCGAGGUGAAUCUACUAUCUCUGUCAAAGAUAAUGGAUAUUGGUACACCGUGUAGUCAUACAAUCUCUCGGAUGUAGGUUCGAGCUAGCUUCUCCAUCUUGUCGGUUUCCUUUAUGGGUAAGAAGUGUGCAGAUUUUGUUAACCCAUUGACAAUUACCCAUUGGUGUCUAGCCCACCUGCUGUUCUGGGUAAUUUGGUUAUGAAAUCCAUGGUUAUCUGUUCCCACUUCCACUCGGGUAUUUCGGGUUGUUGUAGUAAUCCUGAUGGCUUUUGGUACUCUACCUUGACUUUGGCGCAAGUCAGACACUUGCCCACAUAGGUAGCUAUCUCUGCUUUCAUGUUCGGCCACCAAUACAGUUUCUUGAGGUCCAGAUACAUCUUGUCCGACACUGGAUAAAUGGAGUAUCGAAUCUUAUGCGCCUCAUUCAUGACCACGUCUCUGAAUCCACCAAACUUCGGUGUCCAGAUUCGAUCCAUGAAGUAAUAAACUCCGUCACCCUUGACUUCAAGAUUCUUGUCCAUUCCUCUUAGGGCUUCACCUGUCACAUUCUCUGUUUUCAAGGCUUCCAUCCGAGCUUCCUUGAUUUGUGUGGACAGAUGGAAUGGAUCGUCAAGGUUAAGGAUUUCACUCGGCGACCUCAGUAUUCUUUUCGACUAAGAGCAUCAGCUACUACAUUUGCUUUUCAUGGGUGAUAGCAAAUCUCGCAUUCAUAGUCAUUAAAUAGUUCAACCCAUCGUCGUUGCCUCAUGUUGAGUUCUUUUUGGUUGAGAAUGUACUGGAGGCUCUUAUGAUCGGUGAAGAUCGUGCAUUACGUGCCAUAAAGAUAGUGUCUCCAGAUCUUUAGCGCGAAAACGACUGCUCCUAGUUCAAGAUCGUGGGUAGUGUAGUUGAAUUCGUGCGUCUUGAGUUUUCUUGAGGCGUAAGCAAUGAACUUACCUCAUUUCACUAGUACGCAUCCAAGACAUUGAUUAGAUGCAUCACAGUAGACCACGAAGUCUUCUGUUCCUUCUGGCAAGGACAAUAUAGGUGCGCUGCAUAGAGCUUGCUUCAGUGUUUGGAAUGCAGCAUAUUGUCUUUCUUUCCAAUCGAAAGUAACACCCUUUUGGGUCAGGGUGGUAAGUGGUUUAGCAAUCUUCGAGAAGUUCUGUAUGAACCUUCGGUAGUAGCCAGCAAGUCCCAAGAAUUUUCGAAUUUCUAUUGGGGUUCUUGGAGCUUACCAUUUCUCGAUUGCUUUGAUUUUGGAAGGGUCCACGUGUAUUCCGUCUUUGCUAACCACGUGACCUAGGAAAUCUACAUUCCGAAUCCAAAAUGCGCACGUGGAUAAUUUUGUGUAUAGCUUCUCUUUUCUUAGCGUUUCCAAGACUUGUCGGAGGUGUUGACCGUGAUCCUCUUUAGUCUUUGAAUAAAUGAGUAUGUCAUCUAUGAAUACGAUCACAAACUUGUCUAGGAACGAAUGACACACCCGGUUCAUUAAGUCCAUGAACACCGCUGGUGCGUUGGUUAAUCCAAAGGGCAUCACUACAAACUCUUAGUGACCAUAACGAGUUUGAAAAGUUGUUUUGGGAAAAUCUCCUUCCAAGACUCGUAGUUGGUGGUACCCGGAUCUUAAGUCAAUCUUUGAGAAAUAAGUCGCUCUUUGGAGUUGGUCGAACAAGUCGUCAAUGUGUGGUAAUGGAUAUCGGUUCUGUAUAGUGAGCUUUUUGAGUUUUGGUAAUCGAUGCACAUGCGGAAAGAUCCAUCCUUCUUCUUUACAAACAAGACUGGUGCUCCCCAAGGUGAGAAGCUCGGCCUCAUGAACCCUUUGUUGAGUAGUUCGUUUAGUUGGCUGGAUAACUCCUGCAUCUCUGCCAGUGCUAGAUGGUAUGUUGACUUAGCUACUGGUGUAGCUCUGAGAAUUAAGUCGAUUCUGAACUCGACUUGACGUUCUGGUGGAACUCCGGGAAGAUCCUCAUGGAAUACAUCGAGAAAAUCGCAGACUUCUGGAAUGUCUCUGAUGCCUUUCGUUUCUUUUUUCCUUAUCUACCAUGUGGGCUAAGAAGCCAUGGUACUCUUUACGUAGGUAUUUCUGGGCUUUGACGCAAGAGAUGAUUUGUAAAUUGGUACCGGGUUUGUCACCAUAAAUGACAAGAGUUUUGCCAUUUGGAAAAUUUAGGAGAACGACCCUUUUGUGACAAAGUAUAUCGGCAUUGUGUAGGCUUAACUAAUCCAUACGGAUGAUGGUAUCAAAGCACUUUAUAGUGAUCGAAAUUAGCUCGAUUUGAAAUGAGUAUUAGUUUAGAGUUAGUGUGCAGCCUAUGUACAUAUUGUUCGUGCUUUCUGUUCUACCAUUUGCCAUUUCUACUGUAAAUAUCUUAUUGAGUGUUUUAGGGUUCUGUUUUAGUACGUGCUUGAAUUUAUGACUCACAAAAUUCCUCUCCGCACCACAAUCAAAGAGUAUGCAUGCAUAAACGUUAUUGAGGAUAAACGUACCCGUAACCACCGUGGGAUCAGCUAUCAUUUCGUUCUGCCCUAUUGCCAGCACUCGUCCUGUGCCGUCAGCAUUCCUUGCCUUAAGACAGUCCCUCUUGUAGUGUCUAGCCUCACCACAACCAUAACACGUCUGGCCCACACUAACCCCAGGGACUUGGGUGAUUGGUCGUGCUGGUGCGUUACAGAAAUUGGCAGUGUGCCCUUUCUUGUUGCAAUUGUUGCAGCGCAUCUCCCAACAAUUUUCGUUGUGAUGGAAAUUGCAUUUUCUGCACUUUGGUAGGUUCCCAACAUAUGGCUCUGCUGGUGUAGUGGUAAUUGGAGCAGUAGUGGGGGCAGUAGCGGCAUGGACUACCACAAUCUGUUGUUUCUUGGAAGGUUCCUGUGAAGGUUGACUCUUUCUUUUGUUCCAGAACCUCUUCUUGUUGUUGUUGUUGGUAUUGUUGUUGUUGUUGUUGCUUCCUCUGGGUUGCUCCGGUGCGGUGGUUGCGAAGUUUUGGCAGACCCCACGGUCUACGAGAGCUUGUGCCAACUGUUUGGGGCUAUCAAAGGUGAUUGGUUUGGAAGCUAGAACACUUCCUCGAAUAUGGUGUGACAGUCCCCAUAUGUACCUUUUGAUCUUCUUGCUCUCUAGAGCAAUUAUUCCUGGGUAAAGGAUUGCCAAAUCACUAAACCUGUUGGUAUAGGUCGUGAUAUCUGAGCCUACCGUGGUAAGGCCCUAAAGUUCCUGUUCGAGCUUUUGUAAUUCGCCCCGUGGACAGUACUUUUUGCAGUAGUACUUGUUUUAGAUUCUCCCAGCCCAUAGAGUUAGCCACUACUAGCGUUAGUGACUUGACAUGGCCAUUCCACCAUGUCAAAUCUCUCUCAGAGAAGGUACAGACAGCGAGCUUCACUUUGUUCCGUUCUGGACAAGAACAAAUCUCGAAAACUACUUCAGUUUUCUCUAUCCACUGUGAUAGAGCCAUUAUCCCUCCGAUCCCAUUAAAAGUAAUGGGUUUUCUAUUCAUGAAAUCCUUGUAUGUACAAUCCCCUGAACGACCCGGGCGUUGGCCAUUCGUAGAACUAUUCACUCCCCCACCUGAACCAUUGUUACUCAUUUGAGCCAUUGCCGUUGUUACAGCAAAUAUCAAUGCGACAUUUUCUAUUGAUGUAGGGGUGGUGGUGGAGGCAUCAUUCCCGACUUGGGUCUUAGGUUUGGACGAGGAGGCAUCGCGCUGCCAAGAAAUAAAAAUAAAAGAUCAUAAGUUUUGGUGGUUGAGAGUUGAAUGACAAUGAGUUAACUAUCUUUAAUAGUUCGAGAAUUUGGUUUAACCAACACAGGGCUUUAAGUUUGAUUUACCAAUGGAUUUAGAAAAAUAAAUAAACGAACUCAUGAACUCGAAUGAAAUGCACAAAUUUAACACACGAAAGAGGUAUGCCCUAUAUAUAUUAAACAUAUGGUUGCGUUACAUCCGAAGUUAGAAAAUUUUAACCUUUCUAAAGGUCUCCGAUUAUAGGAAGUUAAAGAAGGUAAGACUUUUAGUCGAUGGUCCUACUCUAUAUCAAAAUUUUGGGAUUCGGCAAGCACUACUUGCUACGUAGGUUGUGCUUGGAGCUUGACUCCGCAUCCGAUUGCUUUGCUUCCAUAAGACGCCUAUCGAAGGCGGCUUGAUGUUCCCUUAUCUCAGAGAGGGUUGCAAUCAUUUGUGCUUGGAACGUGUCGGCACGGAGUUGGGUGUCAUCCUGCAACCUAUGCAUUCGGCGGAUGUCGGAAGAGUGAACCUGUACUUCCACGUUGACUUCAUGAAUCCGGCUCGCUUGAACCCCGGAUUGGUAGGACUGGUUGGCUAGCUUGCCCACCAUGAUUGGGAGUGCUCGAUCGGCUGAUCCUUCGUUGUGGACAUCGUAGAAGUCUUGACACAUGUUGUAGGGAGGACGUAUCCCUUGUUGCUGGCUCCAAUGGUGGUGGUGACUUCCCCAAACCGGAGUUGGUCCCUGAAAGUUUCUCCUAACAGCAGGAGGUUGAGCAGCUGGUGGGUUGAUUACCUCUGGUUCUGAGUCUAUCCCAGAGUCAUCCCCUUCAUCCAACUCGAUAGGUUCUUCAUCCUCUUUGGGAUCUUCUUCGACCCAUCCCCCGUUACCUUGGUUGAGAUAGUAGGGGUCUUCGUGUGGAAUGAAUCCAGCCAUUUGACUAUACGAGAAUAGGGUUAGAGGAAUUGAAUAAAACUUGAAACGUGUAAACCUAAGCAUGUCGAUUAAACUAUUGCAUAUACCAAAUACUCCUAUAGUAUUUAAAUUUGUAUGUUUGAUACUAGUAUUUAUUUUGGUAAGUUUUGACUUAUUGCUCACUACGACCAUUCCUCGACACACGUUAGUCCAAUCUCGGAUAAAUAUAGUUGAUCAGGCUAUAUUCGUCCCAAAUCUGAUUACAUAUGUCGAGGCCUAAUCGUAGUGUCCAACUUGUCUUAAUACUUCUUGUAUAUUCUAACCAUGAAAAUAAAUUGUUGUAUGCAUGUAAUUGUACUUUUACGACCCAAAACAAUCUAAAUUAAAUGAAACAAGGUUUUAGGUGUAAAAACAUUUUGUCAAAGACUUUGAAUCCCUUUACAUUUAUAGUUUGUAUAUCUUAUGUGGUUCGAUAUACUUAGUUCACUAUAAACAAUGUUCUGAUACCAAUCUGUCACACCCCCAAACCAGAACGGAGGAAUCGUUCGAGGGCGGAUGACUUCAUGUAGUAUCGAAACAGUUGAAUACAUAGUAAAGAAAGUAACACAACCAUCGUAUAUAUAAUUUGAAAGUUUACAUUAUAGCAAGUACUUGUUUCAAAAGAAAUUACAAUAUGAUUACAAAAUGAAAUUAAACUAACGCCACAGCGUCCCAUCUUCAAAAGCAAUAGUUUACCUGUAUUACUGAAUCCCUGAGAAAUACAAGUAGAUUUGAAAGAGUAGAUCAGCAUUUAAGCUGGUGAGUUCAUAACUAUUUAAUGUCACUUUUUGAAUAAAAUCAAAUGAAAUUUGUUUGUAGUUGUUAGAAAAACUCCUAGAAAAUCCAAUAUUUCCUACUAGUAUAAAUGUAGUCUUCUACGAAGACUCGACUGUUUUGAAGGUUUGCUUUUAGAAAUCCAAUAUCCGUUCAUAAGUGUGUGGUAGUUUAAAAGUUCCAAAACUGAAAUGCAAUCGUGUUUUUCAUGACUAAAGUAGUAGAUUUGCGUAAGUAUGAAAUCAUUAAGGCAUUUGAUAACCCUAUAAAUCAAUGAGUUCUUAAUACUCCAUGUGAGUUUUAUAACCAUACUAAUGAACCAGACUGCUUGUAACAACGUUCUUCAGGCGUUGGAAUGUUAUGACGUUUGUUACCCCAGGCCUGCCGGCCUAGCUGUAGCUAACAGCUUAGGUUCGGGAUUGUCAAUCCCGUAUAGAUCUAUACACAAGUAUCAUGCUCCCCCUACAAGGGAUUAUGGUAUAUAAUACAUGACUUAAAAUGCAUACUCGAAAGUAUGUGAAAUGUCUCACAAAACUUAGUAUAAAACAAAUUUAUGUAUGAAAAUGUCCAUUUGUUCUUGUAUAUGAAAGUAUCUCUUUGAUAUAGUGUUUCCAGUAUGUAAAUGUUCAUGAUUUCCUCGUAAAGUAUACCUAUUAUAGUUAUUCAAAGUGUGUGUUUCGUUCGUAUAGUAAAUCUUAGUGCAAUGCUCACUUGUUUUGUAAAGUAUAACAUUUAAAGGGGCAUAACUGAUCACAUAUACUUUAAGUAUAAAUAAAGGGUUUGAUUCGCAUAUAUAUAUAUAUAUAUANNNNNNNNNNNNNNNNNNNNNNNNNNNNNNNNNNNNNNNNNNNNNNNNNNNNNNNNNNNNNNNNNNNNNNNNNNNNNNNNNNNNNNNNNNNNNNNNNNNNNNNNNNNNNNNNNNNNNNNNNNNNNNNNNNNNNNNNNNNNNNNNNNNNNNNNNNNNNNNNNNNNNNNCCCCCCCCCUUAAAAGUGUAUAAAAAGCAUUGACAAACAUUUGAAAGUGUAGUUUAUAGGGGUAUAAACUCACUUGAUUGAUUGGAGAAAGUGAUAUGAAAAUUGAGCAGAACUUCGGCUUGUGAAAGUUGAUUUUCUCGAGAUUCUCGGGAGUCUCGGGAGUGUAGAACCUUCCUUCGGAACUUGAGUGUGAAAACCGGGGCUUCGGGAGCUUAAGCGCAAAGUUUCAGCACGAGAGAUGGAAGAAUGGAGCACUUAAACCCGACACCCCAUGAUUUCUAUUUAUAGGGCUCAUUUUUGGGUGCCACGUCGUGGCAAAGGGUUGGCCACGUCGUGGCAAAGGGUUGGCCACGUCGUGGUGGUCAAGUCUUAUCUCCUUCCAUUGAUUGGACACCCUCAGUCACUUGCCGGGUCGCAGCGAACUGUGCCACGUCAUGGCCAACUGUGCCACGCCCUCAGUCACUUCCGUUGAUUAGAAAUCCAUAACUUCUUCAUCCGAUGUCCAUUUUUGUCAGACUUUUUGCCAUUGCUCUACUAUUGUUGAGACCUUUGAUUCACAUUUAGGUUGUUUUAGUCAAAAGUCUCUCUAGCUCUAUUUCAAAAUUUUAGCUGUCCACUGCUAUAUCCGGAUCAUGGAAAAACCAUAACUUCCUCAUACGAAGUCAGACUUGGACGUUCUUUUUAUGUACUCUCACGGUUUAAUGUUAUCUACAACUUUCAUUUAGAUACUUAAGGAUAAAAACUAUUGUAUUGAAACUUCGUGUUUUGCGUUUAAUCGGUGUUGCCGAUUUUGUCGGAAAUCUUAGAAUGGUCAUAACUUCUUUGUUAUAACUCGAGUUUAGUGUUCUUAGUAUUUCUAUAAACCUCGACACAUUAUCUAGCAUAAUAGAUAUCGCUAUAGAGACUUUUGCACAUUUUAUUUUCGAAGUUAAUUUCAUAAUUUCAAAAUUAGUUACAAUACUUGACUUUUUAGGUAAUUACAUAGAGUCGAAAUAUCGGGUUGUCACAUAAGUCUUCUAUGUGUCUACACUUUGGUAAAUCUAAUACUAGGGUGCUUGGUUAUGUGGAUUCAGAUUAUGGAAAGGAUGUAGAUAAACGAAGAUCAGUUAUAGGGUGUUUGUUUACUUUACGUGGAUCUGCUAUUAGUUAGACAGCCUAAUUAUAAUAUGUGGUUGCUUUGUCAUCUGAUAAGGUAGUGUAUAUGGUGAUUACAUAAACAUUUAAGGAAGAUAUCUAGUUGAAGGGUUUAUUUAGUGAUCUCAAUGAUAGAUUAAAGGUUACCAUGAUAUUCUUUGACAAUCAAAGUGAUAUCUUGUUGAGUGAACAUCAAAUGUUUUGUGACCGAACAAAGCACAUUUAUAUUCAUUUCCAUUUUGUGUGGAAUAUCAUUGAAAAAGGUAAGUGUGUUGUGGACAAGUUUCAUAUAGAUUUUAAAGCGCACUAAUAUAUUUGAACUUUGUAUGUGUUUUUGAUCGAAAUUGAACGUAAUCGGCUUGUGGUGGAGGAACUAUUUUAUCUUUCUAGAAAAAAAAAAUAUAUUUGGUGAUUGCAGGUUCUUAUCAAGUUUGAGAGUUUGAUGAGUUGUUGGUUUUUUAAACCAAGUUGCAGUUUUCAUUUUGUCUCUUUUGAAGUCAAGGUGCAAAUUGGUCUUCCAAAAAUACCAAAUUUGUAAUAAUUCCAGGGCCAUAAGUUUAAUAUUGGAGAUGGUGACUCCAAAUUCAAGGACAACUUCUCUUUUCAAAAAGAUAUUUGGUGUUUAUGUUAAUACCACUACAUGCAUAUUAACGCAUGUUAUAAAUAUUCUGUAAUAUUAUAAAUAUUAUGUGUGUUUGUUGGUUCUUUUAUUUGAUUAUAUAUAUAUAUAUAUAUAUAUAUAUAUGUGUGUGUGUGUGUGUGUGUGUAUGUGUGUGUGUAUAGAGAGAGAGAGAGANNNNNNNNNNNNNNNNNNNNNNNNNNNNNNNNNCUUUCGCGCAUGGUUUUUCCUGAUUUGGUUUUUCCACAUAAAUCUUUGAGUAUUUUAUUUACUAUUUUCAUUUGUAUUUUAUUCGUGAUUGAUUAUCUAUUGAUAUUUUCAUCAUAUUCUGCAUUGAGCUAACAUUAUUAUAAAUGAUUCAGAUUCUUAAGGGUGAAACCACACUCGUCGUUUACUAUAGAGUUAUAUUUAUUUUUUGGAAAUUUUCUAAUAUGUGAUUUAUCAGUUUGAUUGCGUCAUAUACUCAUCAGUUAUGUAUAUAUACUGAUUCUUCCCUCGUAGUCUUUGUGAUGACAAUGUCAAUGACCCGCUACAUCUCUUAGUUAUCAUGCUUUAUAACAUCCUAUUAUACCAAUGCCUUUUGAAAUAUGGUAGUGUCAUUCAUAUACAAAGCAAUUUUCAUUUCUAUAAUUGAGUAAUAGUUUUCAAAAUACAAAUCCUUAUUAACAAUAAACUGAAACUACUAUGGUGUUGUAGUAAAAUGACAUUAGCAUGCUAUAAAUGAAAAGUAUUUCUCAACUGUAGCGAUACAUUUUUUAUUACUUAUGGUAUUUAUUAUUUUGAUUAAGGUUGGACUUCGGUGACUACUUGAUGGAUGUUUUUAGAUAUUGAUAUACACUUCAUAUAGACUAUUUUUUUACUCAUGAUGUAAGUGAGUAUAUGAUAAACCAUAGUUUCUAGCAAUUGGAUUUAACAUUGAAAAGUGAGGUUAACCAUGUUGGGGUGGUAAUGGGGUUGAUUUAUGUAUAUUUACAAAAAUGCUUAUUGGGACUUUAGUGAUAUGACAAGAAUGAUUUUUUUUAUUCUUCACAUUUUCUUUUCGAAUUCAUAUUUUUUGAGUUAUUUUAUCUUUUCUCUAAUAAAGAAUCUGAUGAAAUUAUGAAGCGUCUCUCUCAUACUUUUUUGAUUCAUACAAGUUAUUAGCUCGAAGGUUAGUAGAGUAUAAAACCAGCUGAAACGAUUCAAAAAAACUUUCUAUCAUGAACUUAUUACUGUUUGUGUAGAUGUCGAAUAUUGUUGUGAGGUUUCGAAAGUCAUUAAUAGUUUCUAAAGGUUGUUAUUUUAUUAUAAGGGCACUUUAUGUAUCGAAGUUUUUAGUGUUCAAUAUCUUAUAUUUUUUGUGUGCUUUCAUGUUCUCUAUGAAUAGGGAUGUGUACUAGAGAUAGAUUAAAACUUUCGUGAUUUUGUCUAAUUACUCUUUGUACUUCUGAAAGCAUAAUUGAGCUAAACAGACUUUGUUUAGAUCUCGUGUUCAUCAUUCUUACUUUACUCUGAUCUCAUAAUUCGUACUCGAUUUCAUUGCAACUAUAUUUUGUAUCAGAGCAGGAUUGAUACAAAAUUGUUCUAAUUUUCGGAGUUUUGGCAAAAAUUUUGAGUCUCGUUCCAGAUUUCAAUUUUCUACCAUUUUGCUUUAGAAAAUCAUCUUACAUCCUCUGUUGUGAGUCGGUUCUACAUUAUAGUUGUAAAAUCGAGUGUUCGAUUGUUGAAUUCUGAGUAUUUUAGCUAUUUGAUUUGAGCUUUUUUCAAAAUUUUCCGUAAAAAAAUGGCGAACUUUAACAUGAACACGAUAACUUCUUACUCCCAUCUUCUUGGUUCAUCAACGAAGAUUCUGAUGCAGAUUCUUGAAUUCUACAAUUAGUGUGUUGAUCGAAUGACGAAUUACUUGAACGGAAUUGAUGAAGACCUAUGGAAGUGUAUUCUCGGUGAUGUUCUUCCUUCUCUUUCUGUUCAGAGUAUUGGAACUUCUUCUAACAAUCAAAAUGUCAAUGAAGAGUCUGAAAGAUUGUUGACGAAUGAAAAGAAGUGUAUCAAGGAAGCGAAAAAAUGAAGAUGAGUUCAAUCAAACAAUGCCUGUUUGAAUUAAGAGAAUUCAAGUAGAAGGAAGAAGAGACCAUUGAAUCUUAUUAUGAUCGUCUGAAUGAGCUAAUCUUCAAAUGCAACCGAUAUGGAGUCAUUCGGUCAACAAUGGAGCUCAAUCUCACAUUCAUCAUAGGUCUUUGGAAUGAGUGGAAAAAUCAAUACUUGCAAACAAUCCUUUAAUGACAUGCAAACAAUGACACACACUGAUUUACCUUAUUCAUUUUCUGUGCAUCCUUAAAACAAUGUUAAAUUUUCAAAAUCUAAAGGAUAGAGGACAUGUAGUUGUGCAUUCCCUCAAAUUAGUGUCCAAUAAAAAAAAUUAGUAACAUGGAAGGCACUUAUAUUAAAAUGGGUGUCGUCUUGGAACGUCGCUUUAUAAUUUUUUUCAAACGCACAUCUCAAACUUAAAAUAUCAGUGAUAAAUUCCAAAAAAGUGCAAGACCAUUCUAUCUAGGGUUUUUUUUUUCAUGAAAGAAAACGCUCUCACUUCUCCUUGGCCUCUGCAAUAGAUGACUAACUCAGUACCUGACGUUGUGCCACAUUUUUGACUUCACCUUCAACAACCUCAGACGACUUCUCAUCGUCGGCAACCACGGGGUCACCUGAUGUCGUCGGAGACUAUGACGAACUCAGUAGCCCAUCAUUUCCCUCUUCUUCUCUCUAACUCUAGACAAAACCUAACACAACCAACACCAUCUCCUACUCCUCCAAAACCAUGCCCUCCAUUAUCCAAACCAGAUAUUGAAGCACCAAAGUCCACUGGUUCUUUUUCAACCAUUCAUUGCAGUUAUUAAUAUCUAGGGUGUACUCGUUUCCCCCCACCACUCUUAAACAAAAAAAUUAGCACACUGUUUUAAUAAAUCCAUUUGUCUCUCUUCCUUAACUAUGUCAUUAUAGACGUAAUAGAAGCACACACAUGCAACGAAACCUCCUUCUGCCUUCUAGUAGAAAUAAAUACUUAAGCAAAAACUGUAACAACAGUCAAAAUAGGUCAAUAACAAUCACAUGUGAUUAUGCCAAUCUUGUAAUGUGAUUUUUUUAAACUAGUAAUGUGAUAAACAUACUAUGUAGUUCACAAUAAAUUCUAAUACAAAUAUGAACUUUCAUACAUACUUUAUGAUACAACUCAAAGUAUACGUCCAUACGAUUCCAAAAAUACAGAGAACAUGUAAGUUUCACUUCGCGUGAAGAAGUUAUGAUAAACCCUAACACUAUAAAUUUCUAUAAUAAGAGGAAUUUAAAAUAGUCUUCGAAUUAGCUAUUUUAGUCUAAAAGAGAGUUGUAGUACUCGUAAAUACCUAUGUGUGGAUAUAAAGAACGUCAGAAACGGAGCUCGUAUGCAAAAGUUACGACCUUCAAAAGAUACAAUUAUCAAAAACGUUAAUCUGACUAAGCUCACGAUGUGAGCGUAGAUGUUCACGACGUGAGGAUUCAAAAAAGCCACAUUUCGAAGCUAGAAGAUGCAUGGCAAGUAGACAAAGUGAUAUAUCAAAAGCUCAUGAUGUGAGCAAGGAUUUCUGAUGUCGUGAGGAGUCAAUGGGACAUCAUCCAAAGCUAUGAGGUGAGCAUGCAUGGCUCACGACGUGACCAUGCUUAGUUCAUGUCGUGAGUGGCCAAAAAUCAGCCUAUAAAUAGCCAUUUCGAACCCACGAAUUAUUACACCUAAAUCUCUUCCAUCUCUCUCGUUUGUUGAGGCCAUUUCGCAUCCUGAGUCCAACGAUCUCGAACCACUGACUGUUUCUAGUUAGAUUACAUAAAAUCAUGCUACUAGGGUGAGUUUCACGGCCCUAAUUUUUAAUUUUUUUCGGGGGAAAAUGCAUGCUAAAUAAUGAAUACAAGUUAAUACUAUAUUUAUAUGAUAGUUUGUUCGUUAGUCGGGAUACAAUUAUUUUGUAUAUAUACAACUAUCGUAAACUUGUUAGCAUGUUAUUGUUAUAGUAGUAUACUAAUGCAGAUCUUGAGUUAUACUUAGGAUUCUAUAUAUAUGUUGUGUGCGAUAUAGUUCUAGACUUAUAAUCAUAAUUUAUAUAUGUUAAUUGAGAAGUAUGUUGUUAUUGUUGGAUUUAUGUCAAGAUAAAAGCAGGUAUGUUAUAUGUUGUUGUUAUUGGUUUUAUGUCAAGAUAAAACCUCGUAUGCUAUAUGUUUUUAUUAUUGGUUUUAUGUUGAGAUAAAACCUGGUUUCUUUCCUCAAGAUAUAGCUAUUGUAUUGCCUAAAGUAUUAUGAACUAAGAAGUAAUGUUUAAAAGCGUAGUCUAGUAACUUAGGGUUUUAGACACGAAAAUGCUUUUGUUAUUAGAGCUAUAGGAAUCCAACAAAGUAUACAUGAGUUAUUGUAUUCAUCAACUAAGAUUGAGGAUAUUAGUGAAUGUCCCUGACCUGUAACCGUUAAUCCAGUAUGAGCAAGGAAGUCAUGUAUGAAUAAUAUACGGGUUGACAACCCCACUCGUGGUUGCUAGCUACAAUCCAACUUAAGCGAGUGAUGAACUGUCCUUUUAUUUGUUGUUACGGCGUCGAUGAAGUGUGUGGUAUUGAGUAUAUGUUCUGGAAAUCCUCAUGGAAAUCAUGAGUGGGCUAUUCUCAUGUAAAGCAUGAGUGGGAUCAAUCAAAGUCGUUGUGUGUCAUAGCAACAGUUAUAGACUCAUGGUGGAAAAUUAUUAGAAACAUUAUACUUUGUCGUUAUACAGGUAUUAAUGUUAACUUUAAGUUUUCCCAUACUUCUACCCUAGGUAUAUGAAAUGUUUAGGUAUAUCACUGAUUUGAUAAGUAAACUAUUAUACCUAAUAUAUCUACUAAACGUAGGAGAAUCAAAAUGAUACUUUCAAAAUUACACUUUUGAACUUGGAAAAUGUAUUAUUUUUAUAUGGAGUCAAAACCUUUGGACUCACGAACUUUAAGUUGACGUAUUUUCAAAAUGUAUGUGUUUUUAGGAACUUGAUAAAGUCGGUAUGUUAUUCGAACAUUAGAAGUUUUACUGUUACGCUUUAUGUUCAUUAAGAAGUAUACAAUUGUCGGAUAUUAUUUAAUAAGUAAUAGAAAAACAAUAAAAUAACUUUCAACCAUAAAUAAAGGUAUGUAUUUUAUAGAAUUCUUUAGUAUUGUUCAAUGUGUGUUAUAUAACUGUGAUACAAGGAAUGACAUUACUCCGCCCGAUGUUUCCGUCGAUGGUCAGGGUGUGAUAGAUUUGGUAUCAGAGCUAUUAACUAUAAUGAACUAGUACUUUGUUAGGAAAGCACAAAUAUACUUCAGGGCUUACUCUACUAGGUUUAGGUAUAUCCCUUAGCCUACAAUAAAAAGUAUUAUUAAUUAUUCUACUGAAGGACUACUUACAGGAGCGGUGACAUGAUAUACAUGUUGAUUUAGGUUGUUGGAUUUCCGAAUGACUAUAUGCUAAAAUGAUCCUGCCCUUUCGACUGUCCUGACUGGCCAGUGCCUUAUCAGAUAGACCUGCAGUAACAAGCAAAUAAUUAAUAAAGCGAGAAUAAAAUAAAUAAGAAUAUAGAUGAUGGGUUUUGAUCAUUCUUAUACUCCUAUGGUGUACAUGCAACCCUAUAAACCAUGAAUCUAUGUUUCUCUAAUAUACAUGCAAAUUUGAUUUUUUAAGGUUUACUUCCUAACUAGAAUGGAAUGGGGAAUAUAUAAUAUAAAAACCAGUAGAAGUACAUACCUUUCUUGUUGCUUGGAUUCCUUGAAGACUUUGUGAGCCUAGCACACCAAGUGUUGUGCCUCAAAUGCUUCACACAACACUAUAAGAUUUGGAAUAACUUGAGAGAAUACACUUGCACUCAAAAAUCGGUUAUGCCCUCUUAGAACUCACUAGUAGUCCGAUUUUGCUAGCUAUAGGGCUCCUUUUAUAGUGUUGUCACAAUUAGGGUUCUCAUAUGAAUACCCUUAAUUGUCAUGACUCUUCAUUUCUAAUGAUCCAUGGAUUUGUAAAUCCCAUGAACUAUCCAUGGAGCUCCAAAUGGUUAUAACCCAACUCCAUAAACCAUGGAUCAUAAAUCUACCAUAAAAGAUUAGAUGAUUGUCAUAAUCAACCCUAUAUAUUUAAUUAGUCUAAUUUUGAUCACCAAAUUAAUUCUAAAUUAAUACUUGAUCACUACUAAUUAUCUAAUACUAUUAUUAAUAUAUUAGAACUUAUAAUAUAUUAAUAAUCACAAGUGUCCUUUCUCUCAUUUAGUCUAUCCACGUAUUGCAAUGCCAUGGACCCCAAAUGGACCAUGUUGGGUCGGGUCAAGUACAUACCAAAUAAAGUUAUGGACUUAGACACUAUAUCCAACAGUCUCCCACUUGGAAAAGUCUAAUAACUAUAUUUACAGAUAUGAUUUCAGGAUCCGACUAGAAAUUUUAGCUCUUUAAAAGUCUCUCGUAAUUGAGAUGAUAAUGAUAUGCCAUUUAAGAUAAGUGAUCAUAUAAUCCUCUGCUCUCAAGAUAUCUGCCAGACAAACACAUGGAACAUGGUCUUACUUAUUGUCCAGAAUUUGUUUCUCGAUCUCUGAUUUGUUUCGACAUAGAACUAAAUUGAACACAUCAAUUAGGUUCUGACCGGUCCCGGUAUGUAAGUCAAAACCAAAUCAUCGAGGGGCCCAGAUAUCGCUUCUAUUUCUUAAAUGGCAUAUUUCUAGAAAGAAAAGAUAAACUUCGACUCAUAUGCUUGUACUGAGUACUUGUUGAAUUAUGCACAAAAGCACGUUUUAUAAUAUCAAGUUACCAAUGCAUUUUCAUACAAUCAAUGGAUAACCAACUAAUAGUCAACAACUCGUAUCUCUAUGUUUAAAGAUUUAUAUGAUAUUACCGUCUCACGAUCACUCAAGAUAAAUUCCAUGAAGUGAUGCAAGUGAGCGUGGGUUGAAUCCAAUACUCAGGACUUAUGAGCACUCAUGAAUGUUGCAACAACUAUUGCUAUGUCUAAUACCCUUUAGACAUAUCAUACAAACCAAAUUCAUGAUAGUAUUGAUUCAUAUCAACUUCCGACAUAUGACCGACUGUGGAGAGUUCGAAUAAAAUAAUUAUUCUCGAAGUCAAAACAUGCAAAAUUGAAACCUUAGUAAACGAUUUACAUAAUAUAGUAACACUUUACUCAUAAGUAAAUAACAACUUUUAUUUAAUCAUCAAAAUCCCAAUUACAUUUUACAAGUUUCAGAAAUCUAAUUAUUGAAACUAAUAUCAUCCUUCAGCCCGAGGCGCCUUGCAUGCUGUAAAUGCUUAACACUACUCAGUCACUUUGUGAGGGGAUCUGCUGGGUUCUCAUAUGAUGAUACCCUCUUUGCCAUGAGGAGUCCUUUUUCUAUUCGAUGUUUGAUGAAAUGGUAUUUUCUGUCAAUGUGCCUAAAUCUCCUGUGAUCUCUUCGUUCCUUAGCUAAAGCAACCGCACUUUCGCAGUCAAAGAAAAUUUGCAUUGGCUCCUUUAUAGCUAGUACAAAUCCAAGAUCUCUAAUGAAGUUCUUUAGCCAUAUCGCCUCCUUUGCAGCUUCAAUCGCUGCUAUGUACUCUGAUUCACAUGUAGAAUCAGCUACUGUCUCCUACUUGGAACUUUUCCAAGUAAUUGCCCCUCCAUUUAGGAUAAAAAACCAGCCUGACUGAGAGCGGAUGUGACAAUCCGAUAUUUCAGCUCUUUGUAAUGACCUAAAAAGUCAAGUAUUGUAACCACUUUUGAUUUAAUAAAAUUAACUUUGAUAAUAAAAUGUCCAAAAACUUCUAUUUAAAUUCUUUCCAUGUUUAAAUGUCAUUAAACCAUGAUCGUACGUAAAAAGAGCGCCCAAAUCGGACUUCAUAUAUUGAAGUUAUGAUUUUUUUUUCAAGUUCAGCUUAGCAACAGACAGCUAAAAACUCGAAGGUCUCGUCAAUGGUAAUUCAGCGGUAAAAAGUCUGGCAAAAACCGACGUCAGAUAAAGAAGUUAUGAAUUUUUGAAGAAAUUCAUUAAGCACGUCAUUUUAAUAAAUAAAUAAUAAAAAUAAUUUCAUAAUUGCCAACGGAAUCUAAACGAAAGUUGUAGAUCUUAGUCUCACCUUCGUGUGGAUAUAAAGAACGUUGAAAACGGAGUUCGUAUGAAGGAGAUAUGAAUUUUAGAAGUUUAUUUAAAAUAAAUAUAAAUUUAAUUAUAAACUCCCGGUAUUAUCCGAAGGGGAGUCAUCAGAUAGGACCGGAGUACGCCCUGCGUACCUUCAUACGCCCCGCGUACUCAGAUCAAGGGCCUCGGAUCGUCCACGUCGCCCUAUGCGAAGCUUCCGACCCGCCCGUCCGACCCGAAGCCAAGGCAGUCGAGGCUUCGGUCAUGCAUGACGUACGCGUACGCACUGCGUACGAGCGUACGCCCCGCGUACGAGGCUUCUCAGACCCCCCUAUAAAUAGAAUGCGAGGCUUUCCGAAAAAAAUGCUCAUUUCUCUCCUUUCUCUCACGAUCUUGCCUCGAUUUCCGUGCCCGUUCAAACCCGAAGCUCUGGUCUUUUUGCUCAAGUCCCGAGGGUCGAUUUUACUCCCGAGAUUCCCGAGAAUCCCGAGAAAAAUCCGUUUCCCGAGACGAAACUCUGCCCGGUUUUCCAUCUCGCUAUCUUCAAACUUCCAAGUGAGUUCAUACCCCUAAUCAAUGUUUUAAAUGAUUCUAAAUGCUUUAGUAGGGGGGAAUACAAGUAGAAACAAACAUGUUAUUAAAUCAUUGAUACGUAUUUUUAUAAACAGUUUUCACAUACUACAAAAUGUGAUGCAUGAAUUGGUUUCAAAUCUUAAGAACACAUUGUUAUCAAAGGUUUUACCUUGAAAUGUAUAUUGAAAUGACCUCAGGUUAUUGUUAAUCAUUGUUUCAAAACACAUAAGAUGUCUUACAAAACCAUUUUUCAUUCUUGAACUAAACUAUGCAUAUACACUUAUACCCUUAUAUAUGUAUUGAUGUUAUAAGUUGCAUCUUUCAUUUAGUUUUCCCACACCCUUGAGUAGUAAGAGUGUGUAAACUUACAUGAUCAACUAGUUAGAUUACAGUAAAUUAUCAUAGGGAUAAUUUGAAGAUAACAAAACAUUAUUCCUAUUACAAGGAAUCACACAAGAGUCAGUUCAUUCAUGAGUCUUUACUAGUACCUUACCUGAUACAUGAGUACCUUUACAUAUGUUUACCUGAUACAUGAACACAUUACAUGAGCACCUUUACGUUGAUACCUUUACCUGUGUAUACUUAUUUGAAUAUUUGUAUCACAAAUUGCGAGGAUAAUUUAUUAGUACCUUCUGUGUAAAUUAUCCUGCAUAUCCCCAGUACCUCGGGAUAUCUAGAAUAGGGCUCUAUCCCCAGUACCUCGGGAUAUAUGGACGGGACUAACCAUUCCGGAACCCAUCUGUUAGCAACAGUGGGUAAUGAACAUCUAAAGAUGCCUACGGUUAUUACUUAUACUAGGAGUACCUUUACAGGGACUAACCCUUCCUUCCACCUGCUGCUGCUACAGAGGACAAUUGGACAAUCUUCGGAUGUCCAUUAGGUUAUAUGUAAUAUGUUAGCCCUAGUACCUCGGGUCAACAUUUACAUUCGUCUUGUUAGCACCAGUACCUCCGGCUAACACUUACAUGAUUAUAUUUUUCCUGUUUACUUUAUUUUGUGAUAUCUUUCACAUAAACGAGGAGUUAGACUAAGUACUUUGGUACUAGUCAAUAGAAAGGAAAAACUAUCAUUUUACAUAGUCAUAACAAAACAUUCGGGUCUUGGUAGAAGACUACACUUCAUACCUACAAAACAUUCGGGUCUUGGUAGAAGACUACAUUUCAUACUUAUAGAAAAUAAGGGUUUUUCUAGGGAUUUCAUACUUAACACAACAUUUUCACUUAAAGGUUUACAAGGAUUUCAUAACAGAUUUUCACAAACAAGGCAAUGACACUUAUAUACUUAUGAAUUCACCAGCUUUAAAGCUGAUACUCGCUUUCAAAAUAACUUGUAUUCUCAGGUCAUCAGUAGACAGGUACGGAGGCCAGGUUUUGAGAAGACGGAGCAGACAAGUCUCGUCUUUUAUUUUGAUGUUAUAUUUUUGGUCUCUUAUUACAAUGAAAGAACACACAUGUAUUAAACUUUACUUAUAAUGCAAUGGAUGAUGUUGUUGCUUGUUUAUUAUAUUACACUAUUGUAAUACUGUAUAUGACGUCCUCCACCCCUGAACGUUUCCGUCGUUCGUGGUUUUGGGGUGUGACAGCAGAAAUUAUCCCUAUCAUUCUGAAAGCUAGAAUCACUAUAUCCUUCCACUCUAAAGUCACCACUGCCACCGAGGGUAAGGACACAGUCCUUAGUCGUCCGCAGAUACUUGAGAAUGUUCUUUACCGCAGUCCAGUGAGCCUUGCCCGGGUUCCCUUGAUAUAUAAUGACCAUGCUCAAAGCAAAGGACACAUCAGGGUGUGUACAAGUCAUGGCGUACAUGAUAGAGCCCACAGCGGAAGCAUAUGGUAUAUGACUCAUCUCUGCUAUCUCAGCCUCUGUACUCGGACUCUGAGUCUUACUCAGCUUCGCAUUACUUUUGAUAGGUAAUUCCCCUUUCUUGGAUUCUUGCAUGCUGAACCUCUUCAACACCUUAUCCAAGUAGGUACUUUGACUAAGUCCAAUUAGUCUCUUAAACCUGUCUCUCAUUAUCCAUAUCCCUAGGAUAUAGGCAGCUUCUCCAUGAUCCUUCAUAGCGAAACACUUCCCAAGCCAGGAUUAACCUCCUGCAAGGUUGGGAUGUCAUUCCCUAUGAGUAGUAUGUCAUCCACAUACAACACCAAAAAGCUAAUUAUGCUCCCACUAUCCCUAACAUAUACAUAGGACUUAUCUUCGCUCCUCGAAAAGCCAAACUCUUUGACUUUCUCAUCGAAGCAAAGAUUCCAUCUACGAGAUGCUUGUUUCAAUCCACAAAUGGAUUUCUCAAGUUUGCACACCCUAUUAGGGUACUUUGCAUCAACAAAACCUUCUGGCUGAGCCAUGUAAACAUCCUCAGCCAAUUUUCCAUUAAGGAAAGAGGUUUUGACAUCCAUUUUCCAUAUUUCAUAAUCAUGAAAUUCAGCAAUGGCCAGCAAAACUUUAAUAGAUUUAAUCUAUGCUACUGGUGAAAUGGUCUCAUCGUAGUCAACUCUCAGAGUUUGAGUAAAGCCUUUUGCCACCAGUCUUGCUUUGUAGAUGUGUACCUUCCCAUCUAUGUCGGUCUUCUUUUUGAAGAUCCAUUUGCACCCAACUCUCUUACGACCUUGUAGAUUGUCAACCAAGUUCCACACUUGAUUGUCACACCUGGACUGAAUCGCGGUGUCCAUAGCCUCCUUCCAUUUAGCAGAUUCAGGGCCUGCCAUGGCUUCCCUAUAACUAUUUGGUUCAUCCAAAUCUAUUAGUGUACUAUCACUAGUAAAUGUAUCACCUUCAAUGGUGAUAUGAUAACCAUAAUAAAAUUCAGGUGUGUUUCCUAACUCUAGUGGAACGCCUCGGAGGUAUGGACUCAUCUAUCGGCUUAACAGAAGUUUCCUCCUCAAGUUGGUCGACAGUAUUUGAGGUUCCUUCACCACUUGACUCUUGAAGCUCUUCAAGGUCAAUUUGCCUCCCACUGUGCCCUUGGCUUAUAAAUUCUCUCUCAUGAAAGACUCCUCUUCUUGCUAUAAAGACCACAUUAUCAUUGGGUCUGUAGAAAAUACACCUCUCACUUCGAGGUUCGAGCUUAUCAUGAGUCUCACACCUCAUGAAAGCUUCACAAACCCAAAUCUUGAUGUGGUCUAAAUUAGGAACUUUCCCAUUCCACAUCUCGUGAGGUGUUUUGGCAACCUUUUUAGUAGGGACUAGAUUAAGGAUAUGGGCGACAGUCUCUAAGGCAUACCCCCAGAAUGAGAUUGGUAACGAAGCUCGGCCCAUCAUUGAACGAAGCAUAUCUAACAAGGCUCGAUUACACCUCUCAGCCACACCAUUCAAUUGUGGUGUCCCGGGAGGUGUCAAUUGUGAAAUGAUCCCAUAUUCCUUGAGAUAGUUUAGAAACUUUGUACUAAGAUACUCACCACCACGAUCGGAUUGAAGCAUCCUAACGUUCCUGCCCAAUUGAUUCCCGACUUCCUGUUUAAACUAUUUAAACCUCUCGAAAGUCUCUGACUUAUGCUUGAUUAAAUAGACAUAUCCAUAUCUACUAUAAUCAUCAGUAAAAGUCAAAUAAUAAUGAUUAGCUUCCCUUGUGGCUGAUUUGAAGGGUCCACAAACAUUUGUGUAUAUGAGGUCCAACGAACCCUCACCCCUCUCACAAGUACCAGUGAAGGGUGACUUUCUCAUUUUUCCAAGUAAACAAGACUCGCAACUAUCAUCCGACUUUAGGUCAAAGGAUUCAAAAACUCUAGCCUUUUGGAGUUGUCCUAUGCGCUUCUUGUUGACAUGUCCAAGACAACAACACCACAAGGAUGCUUUAUCCAAACAAUUUGAAGAAUCAAUAUACAACACAUUAUUUCCUAGAUUGUCUACAGCAUUCACAGCUUCAUAUACACAAUCACAAGGUAAUGCUUUAAAGUAAAAUACAUCAUUGUAGUAAACAUUAAUAACACCAUUACUAUUUUCAAAUGAAAAUGUAAACCCUUGUUUGUACNUUUCAAAUGAAAUGUAAACCCUUGUUUGUAAAAGCCAUGAAAGGAAAUAAUAUUUCUCGCCAUUUCAGGCGAGUAACAACACUUAUUAAAAUAUAACAUUAACCCAUUGUUAAGAAAUAAAGAAUAAAAUCCUAUCUUGGUGACAGUUGAUGCUUUCCUGUUGCCCAUGACUAAGUUUAUCUUCCUGUGCUCCACUUGCUCAUUUCUUCUUAGGCCCUGCAAAUUAGUACAAAUGUGAAUACAACAACCUAUAUCAAGCACCCAAGAACUAGCAUUAGAUGAGUUAUUAGACAAUAUUGUAUAUAUACCUGCAUGGGUAGGUUUAACUUUCCCAUCCUUUACAUCUUGCAAGUAUUUGGGCAGCUUCGCUUCCAGUACCACUUUUCCUGGCAAUAGAAGCAUUGUGCUUCCUUUGGGUUUGAGGAAGGAGUAAUGGGACCUUUCUUUGUCCCGCUUGAAGAGGAACCAUCAAAGGGCUUACCCUUGGUACCCUUCGAAAAUGUUUUCCUCUUCUUCCCUUUUCCCUGCCCAAUUACCCGAACAGGGGCUGCUGUAGGAGUAGGAGUAGAAAUAACAACUGAUUUACCUUUAAGGCCACUUUCAGCCAUCUUUAAAAUUCCUUGAAAUUUGGUACGUGUGACCUCCUCCUUGUUCAUAUGAUAAGUCAUACAAAACUGAUCAUAACUUGGAGGUAAAGAAUGGAAAUAGAUAUCAAUCUCCAAGUCCUCAGGGAAGUCCACAUUCAGCUUCAGCAACCGGUCCACGAACCUUUGCAUUUUCUACAAGUGACCGAUGAUGGGUUCACCAUCCUUCUGUUGGAAUUUGAGCAUUCUAACACUCCUAUGGUGUACAUGCAACCCUAUAAACCUUUGAUCUAUGUUUUCUCUAUUAUACAUGCAAAUAAGAACUUUCCAAGGCUUUAAUCCUAAGUAGCAUAUUAUGAUGUUCUUAAUCUACAAAGUACUAGUUAGAGGACAUACCUUUUGAUGUAGCUUGAUGUCUUCAAGCUUUAAGAGCUUAGCCCCAAUAGUGUGGAAGCCUCAAGUGGAAUCACAAAUCACCAAGACACCUUGUAAGACUUUAGAGAAUAUAGAUACUUGGUUCUCUCUAGUGAAAUUGGCUAGCCCUUCUUAGUGUACCACACUAGUGCCCAUUUCACCAACCAAGGACAUCUUUAUAUAGUAUGGAGGAUUAGGGUUAAACCCUAAUACCCAUGACCUAUCAUUUCCUAGGAUCCAUGGGUUAAACACUCCAUGGACUAUCCAUGAAAGCUUAGCCCAACCUAAAUGAACUUGGCCUAUUCCAUACAUAUAUAAGAGUCCAAAUUUAAUUAGUUCCUUUUGAUCACUUAAUUAAUUAUAAAUUAAUUUUUGAUCAAUACUAAUUAAAUAAUAUGAUUCCAUAUUAAUAUAUUAGAACUUAUAAUAUAUUAAUAUUAAUCAUAAACAUACUAUUCUCAAAAGAUUAUCCAUAUAAAUUGUGUCGGUGAAGUGCAACCCAAAUGGACCAUGCCGGGUCGGGUCAAGUACAUACCAAAUAUAGUUAUGGACUUAGACAUUAAUCCAACACCUUCAUCCUGGCCAUUAUCAUGGAGGAGAUGGUACCUAUCCAUCAGAUCCAGGUGCAUCUUAUAGGGGUAGAAAUCUUCAUAUGAUUUCUAGAGUUCGGGACUCAUGGUAGGCAACAUGAUGCAGGACACUUUGGUAGGAACCCUCUCAUGUGCAGUGUACUCCGCAACCUCCUCAGGAGUAGCAGUGGAGUCAUUGAUAACCUUAAGCACCUUAUCAAGGAUAUAUUCCUUGUUCUCAUAGCGGGUAAUCAUCCCGAUGUUUCUAAUCCAUUCGUUGAAGUUAGACCCAUCAAAAGUGACUUUCCCACACAAGUUCAUGAGGGAAAAGGAGCUUGUAGGGUUUGAGCUAGCAGUAGUGUUGGAAGACAUCUAAAAUAAAGAAGGACAAGGUUUAAUUAGAUGAAUAAUCCUUAAUAAGUCACCCAAAUGAAAUAUUAAGGCUAGGAUCCAACAAACUAUUUAUAGUUGGAAGAAGGAUGCUGUAAUCCACACUAUAAAAUAUUUGAUGGUAGGUAAAUGACGAUUUACCAAUUUCCACCAUUAGAACGAAAUAUUUUAUUAUUAGGUUUUAUUGGAUUUGAGACUCUUAAAUCUUUUUGAGAUACAUUGAACUUUUCAAUGACAUGUUUGAAUCUCAAUUGUGCCCUCUCAAGUUUGUGACUGGGAUGCCGAGGAUCAUAAACAAGGUGUGAAUAACCAUACAAAUUGAUUAGGUACCCUUAACUAUAUUACCUAAUCGAUGUGCCGGUUAACCACACACGCUCCAUUAAUCUAUAAUAAAGUCAAGUUACCCUUUUCCACACUUACUAGUCCUUGUUAGUUUAACCACACAUGUUCCACUAAUGACUUGGUAAGGUACAAAGUGUAAUUUUAUGGGCUAGCACAUAUUUCACAUUUUCCUAAAGUAACUAAGAUUGGGAAUUAUUAAUGUAUAGUUACUUUAUAAUUCAUUAUACUUUUAAUGAGAGUUAAACUCUUAUCCUACCCGUUCGACUAACGACCCUCUACCAGUCAAGGAAGCGGUGGGUGAGAGUGGACACCCAUUAAGCUGCCAUUUUAUAGGCAACAACCUUAUACCCCCCUUAUAGACCGGCUUCGUGAAUGUGGCCUACUUGCGGUAAGAUUGACUUAUUCUUAUACAUAUUUAUAUAAAUAAAAUUAUAAUAAUAGUAUAAGUGUUGUUUUUUUAAACUUAUAAAAAACUAAGGUUUAAUUUGGAAUUAAAGUAUUAAAGUGUAAGAAUAUACAAAUUCCAAAACUUGAGGGCUGGUUUUGAAACUAUUUGAAGACGCUUCAGUUUGUAACUUAUGAGUUUUAAUGGUUCAUAAAGUUGAAUACUCUUCAUUUUAUGAAACCUCCUAUUCUUUAAUGACAACUUUUAUAGGAGUGACUUUUGGUUAUCCAUAACUUGAGGACAAUUUAUGGACACCAUCAUUAGCAUUAAGAUCAUGAAUUAAACGAGCAUGUAGGUUACACACAAUUCCUAUGAUCUUUUAAAGCUCAUAAGAACAAAUAUUCAUAUCAAACCAUUUCAAGAAAUCAUAUUGACACAUAUAAAACUUGUAAAUUGAUAAUAGUCAUUUGAUAUGGGUUAACAUAAUCAUUACCACUUUGAAAAACAGAUUUUACAAGUCAAAAAUAGUUUGGGAUAAUGAUUCUAGCACAUUUCCAGCAACAAAACUCAAAAAACUACCCAGCACGCACCUACUCGUCGAGUGCAUGAUCCUACUUGACGAGUAGGAUAAACUUUGCCUUGGACUCGUCGAGUUCUCCCCUUACACUCGGCGAGUCUAGUCGAACAGUGAACAAUUUUUCUAUAUUUCAAGCAGUUUGCAUCAAAUAUACAGAAAACAAUCAUAGGCUUUGAUACCACUGAUGGGUUUUGAGCAUUCUAACACUGUUAUGGUGUACAUGCCACCCUAUAAACCUUGAAUCAAUUUUUUCUCUAAUAUACAUGCAAAAUUGAUUUUUCAAGGUUUACUUCCGAACUAGCAUGACAUGGGGAAUAUAUAAUAUAAAAACUAGUAGAAGUACAUACCUUUCUUGUUGCUUGGAUUCCAUGAAGACUUUGUGAGCCUAGUACCCCAAGUGUUGUGCCUCAAAUGCUUCACACAACAUUACAAGACUUGGAAUAACUUGAGAGAAUACACUUGCACUCAAAAAUCGGUUAUGCCCUCUUAGAACUCACCAGUAGUCCGACUUUCCUAGCUAUAGGGCUCCUUUUAUAGUGUUGUCACAAUUAGGUUUUUCACAUGAAUACCCUUAAUUUUCAUGACUCUUCAUUUCUAAUGAUCCAUGGGUUUGUGACUCCCAUGAACUAUCCAUGGAGCUCCAAAUGGUUAUAACCCAACUCAAUAAACCAUGGAUCAUAAAUCCACCAUAAAAGAUUAGAUGAUUAUCAUAAUCAACCCUAUAUAUUUAAUUAGUCUAAUUUUUAUCACCAAAUUAAUUCUAAAUUAACACGUGAUCAACACUAAUUAAAUAAUAGUAUUAUUAAUAUAUUAGAACUUAUAGUAUAUUAAUAAUCACAAGUUUCCUUUCUCUCAUUUAGUCUAUCCAAGUAUUGCAAUGCCAUGCAAUCCAAAUGGACCAUGUCGGGUCGGGUCAAGUACAUACCAAAUAAACUUAUGGACUUCGACACUAUAUCCAACAAUAGAGUCAUAUAUAAAGACUCAGACCCGCAAUGACAAUACACCUUAAUACCCAGAACGAUUUUGAUCUCAAGGAUUUAGAUCAAAUAUGCCAACUAAAAGUUUAUAUGUUCGUAGAUCUUAUCACAACUAGGUGUAAGUGCGCAACUACAUUUUAUUAUGAUCAGUUCAUAUGAAAUAUUUAAUUUGGGAGUAAUAUUUGAUGGACUAAACACUUGGUGAUCCAAAAUAUAUAUGAAUUUGACAUGGCUUAUUCACGAGAAUGGAUAAUCAUCGAACAUACAGAUGUCGAAGAAGAAGAAGUUUCAUUCCCCAUGUUAGUAGGCAAUCCUUACUACCCUAUAAAUCCAAAUAAAAUUCAUCCAAUACCAUCAAACGAGGGAGCACCUUUACCUUCCAACGAAUGGGAAGAGAGUGAUCCAAAGGAAGAAAGCGAGCCAAUGGAAGAGACAGAAUCAGUGGAAUCAUCCUUACCACCCAUGAACACUCUUUACCGUCAAUUUCCAGGAGGAGCGAAUAUGAAACACACAACUCGUAAAUCCAUACCGAGAUGGAUAAAGAUUAAGAAGAAUCAGAAGGCGACAUCUUCAGGAACUCAUAGAGUACAAGAUGAACCUGCACGGAUAGCACAAACAAUUGAUAGGUGGGUGGUAGAAGAAAGAGUUGCUAAGAUGUAUAAGAUUGUUCAAUCAUAUCGACCAGAUCCCCCACAUUCUUAUGAAGUUAACACCUUAUCUCAAUUGUUUGAGAAACUUGUGAGAAUUGAAGAUAAGAUGGAAAUUGUCGAAGAAAUAGCUAUUCGUCUCUCCGGAAGGGUGCGAAGGCUAGAAGGACAGAGGACACGAGAUCAAGAGGCGGUGAUGGAUGUCCAUCAUUAUAUUAAUUUCUUUAAUAAUGACAUGAUUACUCAUGAUGCAAGGAUUACAGAGUUAGAGCUCUACAAUCAAAACUCGAGAAACGAGGAGCGCACUAGAGAGCUCAAGCUGAGAAAUUAUCCACUUGAGGCGCAAGUGGUUCAUGUCACUGACGUGUUGGGUCGUCACCUAGCUUACUAGUAGAUAAACUAAUACUUGUGGUUGUGUAAAUAGAGAAAUCAUACUAGUUAAGGCAAAUAGUGUAAAGUUUAGAGCAAGGGUGUAGCAAACCUUGCAAAUUUUACGAUGCUUAUAGGAACUUUUCUGUUAUAAGCCUAAAAAAAUUGAUGUAAUCACUGGUGAUAAUAUAAAUUAUACAUUACAUUAAUCAUUGUGUUACCCAUUAUGUUUUACACUUUGAAGAAUAAUUGAAGUAUUUAGUACUCGUGUAUUAAAUGACUAAUAAAACUCAUAAAACUCUUAUUAUUUAUAAUAGGAAGUAAACAAAAUGCCUAGAAGGACUAGUGCUCGACUAAACCAUAACCAACAAUCAACAACACAAUAACCACCACCAGAACCAAACCCUCCACUAAGUUCAGUAGAACUUCAAGAAAUCAUAGCUCAAAGAAUCGUUGAGGCUCUAUCUAAUCUCACAAGAGGUGGAGUUAGAAAUAAAGGCAAUGUAGGGAUUGAUAGAAUGUGUACCUACAAAGACUUUAUGAAUUGCAGACCAAAGAGCUUUGAUGGAAAUGAAGCGGUUGUUAAUUUGACUAGGUGGAUUGAAAAGACCGAGUCCUUCUAUUAAAUAACCUUAUGUCCAGAUGAUUGUAAAGUAUGAUUUGCAGCAUAUACUUUCAUUAAUGCAACACUUACCUGGUGGAACAGCCAUGUGAAUACAAUGGGAAUUGAUGCUGCAAAUUCCAUGAAAUGGGAGGAACCAAAGAUGAUGCUAGUAGAGGAGUAUUGUACUAGGGAGGAAAUACAAAAGAUGGAACAAGAAUUGUGGACCCUAACCAUGAAGGGUUCAAAGAUAAAAGCUUAUACCGCUAGAUUUAAUGAUCUUGGAAUAAUAUGUCCAACACUUGUAACCCUUGAAUAUAAGAAGCUUGAGCGAUAUAUUUGGGGUUUAGCAUCACAAAUCAAAGCCAUGGUGAUCACAUCAAAGCCUACGACCUAUGACAACACCAAGAGAAUAGCUCAUCAUCUAACCAUCACAUAGAUCUAAGUAAAAGUAAUGGUGUCAUAGGUUGAGUCUCCCAAAUUUGGAACAAACAACCGCAAGUUUAAUAGGAAGAAUCCCAGACAAUCAUCUGAGAAAAGACAAGAAGUGCCAAUAAAUUAUGCAGCCACAACAGCAAUACCCACACAACCAAGAAAGUAUGAUGGAAAAUUUCCAUGGUGCAGUCAGUGUAGCCGUCAUCAACCAGGUGGUUGUUUUGUUUGCACGAAGUGCAAGAAGAAAGGGCAUACUACUAGUCGUUGCUGGAGCACAACACUUGCAACUGUCAAUUAGCAAACAAAUACCAGAAUAGGCAAUCAUGAAGGAAGAAAUUGUUUUGAGUGUGGCUAGGUUGGACACAUAAACAUAAAAUUUCCAAUGUUAAGGAGUGAAGGAGGUAUAGGUCAUGGCAGAGCGUUCGUGAUCGGAAGCAGAGAAGCUAUCCAGGACCCUUCGGUGGUAUCUGGUACGUUUCUCAUAGAUAAUUUAUAUGCUACCAUAUUUUUCGACUCUGGAGAAGAUAGAGUUUUUAUAACUCCGACAUUUAGAAAAUAGUUAAGUCAUGAGUCUCGAAAAUUAAAAGAAAUCUAUGAAGUAUAAAUCACUAACGGUCAAACCGAGAGAAUACAUGAAAUCCUAGAAAACUGUCUGUUAACUCUUAAUAACUACCUUUUUCACGUCAACCUCAUGCCAAUGCCUAUCGGUAGUUUUGAUAUCAUAAUUGGAAUUGAUUGGUUAUCAUCACACCAUACUGAAAUUCUAUGUUCUGAGAAAGCCAUAUGAUUACCCUUACCAAAUGGCAAAGCCUUGAUUAUCUAUGGUGAUAAAUCUGGGAAGAACCUCAAAGUCAUUUGUUGUACCAAGACCAAGAAAUAUCUACAUAAGACAUGUAGCGCAUUAUUAGCUCACAUUGUAGAUAAGAAAAGAAAGACAAAAGAAAUCAAGGACAUACCUAAAGUAUGCGAUUUCCCUGACGUAUUUCCUGAAGAUCUACCUGGAAUACCACCCGUCCGACAAGUCGAGUUCUGAAUCCACUUAAUUCCAGGAGCAGCACUAGUAGCAAAAUCUCCUUAUCGGUUGGCUCCAUCCGAAAUGCAAGAAUUAUCUAGCCAACUACAAGAACUUCAUGACAAAGGCUUUAUCAGACCAUGUUUUUUACCUUGGGGAGCACCAAUCUUGUUUGUCAAGAAGAGUGAUGGAUCAUUUCGAACGUGUAUCGAUUAUUGGGAGUUAAGGAAGCUAACAAUCAAGAAUCGUUACCCGCUUCCAGAAUUUGUGAUCUACUCAAUCAAUUGCAAUGAUCCAACUACUACUCAAAGAUAGAUCUCAGAUUAGGAUACCAUUAACUCAGAGUACAUGAAAACGUUAUUCGAAAAAACAACAUUUAGAACUCGUUAUGGUCAUUAUGAGUUCUUAGUUAUGUCUUUAGGGUUGACCAACGCCCCAACAGUGUUUAUGGAUCUCAUGAAUCGUGUUUGCAAACCAUACAUGGAUAAAUUCGUGAUCGUAUUUAUCGAAGAUAUAUUGAUAUAUUCACGAACCAAGGAAGAACAUGGUCAACACUUGCAAAUAAUCUUUGAACUACUGAGAAAAGAAAAGUUGUACGGCAAAUUCUCUAAAUGUGAGUUUUGGAUUAGAGAAGUACAAAUUUUAAGUCAUGUAGUUAGCGAUGAAGGAAUUCAUGUUGACCCAUCCAAGGUUGAAGCAAUUAGGAAUUGGGAAGCACCAAAUUCGCCAAUAGAAGUGCGUCAAUUCUUAGGACUUGUUGGAUAUUACCGUAGAUUCAUAGAGAAUAUCUCCAAAAUAGGCAAGCCGCUUACACCACUAACCCAGAAGGGUAUGAAGUUCAACUAGGAAGACAAACAAAAAGCUGCUUUUCAGAAACUAAAGCAAAUGUUGUGCAGUGCACCAAUCCUAUCCCUUCCAUGUGGGAUAGAAGAUUUCGUCGUAUACUGUGAUGCAUCAAAUAAAGGAUUAGGAUGUGUGUUGGGGCAAAGAGGAAAAGUUAUCGCCUACACAUCAUGACAACUUAAGGUGCAUGUGAAUAAUUACACUACCCCUGAUCUAGAAUUGGGAGCUGUAGUUUUUGCAUUAAAAAUCUGAAGACAUUAAUUAUACGGUACUAAGUGUACUAUUUUUACCGACCACAAGAGUCUCCAGCACAUCUUCGACCAAAAAGACCUUAAUAUGAGACAACGAAGAUGGUUUGAAAAGUUGAAUGAUUAUGAAUGUGAGAUUUGUCAUCAUCCCAGAAAGGGAAAUUAGAGAACCUCAACUUGAGGCUCUAAAAGAAGAAACCAUCAAGAAGGAAGCUUUGAGAGGAAUGGAAAAGAAAUUUAUAGAAUAAGAUGAUGGAACACGUCACUUUAUGAACUGAAUUUGGACGCCUAAGUUCGGUGGAGUCAGGGACUUGGUCUUAGAAGAAGCCCACAAGUUCAGAUAUUCCGUACAUCCAGGCAAUGACAAAAUGUACUUAGAUUUAAAAGUACAUUAAUGGUUGCCAAAGAUAAAGGUUGAAAUUGCUACUUAUGUGAGCAAAUGCUUGACUUGUUCUAGAGUAUAGGCAGAACAUCAAAAGCCUUUAGGUUUACUUCAACAACCGGAAAUACCUGAAUGGAAAUAGGAUCAGAUAUUAAUGGAAUUCAUUACCAAGUUACCCAAAACUCCUAGUGGGUUCGACACUAUUUGGGUAAUAGUCGAUAGAUUGAAUAACUUUGCCCAUUUCAUACCAAUUAAAGAGAACGACAAGACGGAGAAGCUGACUAGAAUUUAUCUUAAGGAAAUUUUCAGAUUGCAUGAAGUUCCAAAUUCUAUUAUUUCUGACCAAGAUAAUAGAUUCAAUUCACAAUUUUGGCAAUCUCUACAAAAAUCCUUAUGAACACGUCUAGAUAUGAGUACAACUUACCAUUCAUAGACUAAUGGUCAGAGUGAGAGAAACAUUCAGACUUUAGAAGAUAUGCUCAGAGCCAAUGUAAUAUACUUUAGAAAUGAAUGGAUACACAUUUACCAUUGAUUGAGUUUCCCUAUAACAAUAGUCAUCACACCAGCAUCAAGGCUACACCGUUUGAGGCUCUUUAUGGAUGAAAAUGUUGUUCCCCAAUAUGUUGGGCAGAAGUUAGAUAUACGCAAAUCGCCAAAGAAUGUACAGGCGAUACCUUACAUACUAGACCAGAAAUAAUCCACAAGACAACUGAAAAGAUUAUGCAAACUAAGGAUCGAUUAAAGGCUACACGUAAUCGUCAAAAGAGAUAUGGUGACGUACGACAUAAUCCUUUAGAAUUCCAAGUUGGAGAUAAAGUAAUGAUCAAGUUCUCUCCUAAGAAAGGCGUAAUUCGAUUCGAGAAACGAGGCAAACUAAACCCAUGGUAUAUAGAACCUUUUGAAAUUCUAGCAAGAAUUAUUUUUGUGAUAUACGAACUCAAGUUGCCUCAAGAGCUAAGUAGUGUACACAAUGUUUUUCAUGUAUCAAAUCUCAAAAGAUGUCUAUCAGAUGACACUCUUAUUGUACCUCUCGACUAGAUGCAAGUCAAUACCAAACUCAACUUUGUUGAAGAACCUGUCGAGAUCAUGGAUCGAGAUGUCAAACGACUUAAGCAAAGUCGUAUUCCCAUAGUGAAAGUUCGAUGGAACUCUCUAUGAGGACUUGAAUUUAGUUGGGAACGUGGAGAUCAGAUGAAAGAAAAUAGCCCCAAUUAUUUGAUAAAACUCCAUCCACAAGAUAAAUUUCGGGAUGAAAUUGCUCUAAUGAGGGGAGAAUGUAACAAUAGUCAAAAUAGGUCAAUAACAAUCAGAUGUGAUUAUGCCAAUCAUGUAAUGUGAUUUUGUUAAAUUAGUAAUGUGAUAAACUUACUAUGUAGUUCAUGAUAAAUUCUAUUACAAAUACGAACUUUCAUACAUACUUUAUGAUACAACUCAAAGUAUACGUCCAUACGAUUCCAAAAAUAUAGAGAACAUCUAAAUCUUACUUCGCAUGAGGAUGUUAUGAUAAACCUUAACACUAUAAAUAUCUAUAAUAAGAGGAAUUUAAAAUAGACUUAGAAUUAAUUGUUGGAGUCUAAAAGAGAGUUGUAGUACUCGUAUAUACCUACGUGUAGACAUCAAGAACACCAGAAAUGAAGUUCGUAUGCAAAAGUUAAGACCUUCCGAAGAUACAAAUAUCAGAAAGCCUAAUUUGGCUGAGCUCACGACGUGAGCAUAUAUGUUCACGACGUGAGGAGUCAAAAAGCCAAAUUUCAGAGCUAGAAGACGCAUGGAAUGUCUACGAAGUGAUAAGUCAAAAGCUCACAACGUGAGCUAGUGUUGGGUCUACAUAUUGGUUUAUACUUUGCUUUUCUAUGAAAAUAUAUUUUUAUGCAGUUUUUGUGUAUUUGUGUACAGUCGUACUCCUGUGUACGGUUGUACACAUGUGUACAGCUGGUGAUCCUAUAUAUAGUCAGGAGUGUAGAGGAGUGUAAGGGUUGAAGAGAGAGAAAGGAAAGCAUAUUGUAGAGAGAGAAAGUAAGACAGAAGAAUUUAGUGUGUUAGUGUGUGUGAAUCUUUUAUUUGGAUCUACGUUCUAAUCAUCAAAUAAUACAAGAUUCAUCAUCUUCUUCUUCUCAUUCUCUUCUAUUUUGAUAUGACAUCAUCCAAUUGAUUGGGAUUCCACACCAACAAUUGGAUCUGAUUGAUACACAAGCAUAUUUAGGACUUACAAUUGGUAUCAAAGCUUGGAUUGUAUCAACCAAUUUGUCAGUUCUGGAUCUUAUUUGAUCUUAUUUUGAAAGGAUUUUUGCAUUUUUUAGAUAGAUCGGGGAAAAAUAAGGGGGGUUUCUUCUUUGCAUUUUUUAUAAAAACGAGUUUUUUAUUGAGUUUUGGAGCAAAAAGGGGUGAAAAACGUCGUUUUUUCGAGAAUCUGUUGAAGGUGAGCGGCUCUGUGUGUGCGACCGGCUCGGUGUGCAGCUAGGAGUGUGCGGUCCUCGGUGUGCGGCUAUCAACCUCGUCCUGGCAUCUCGUUCAGCAAGCUUCGCUGUAGUCUUCGCACUCAGCAACCUCGCAUCGUCAAAAUAAAAAAAGCGGGGGCAGAUUUUUGGAGGUGCCAGGUUUCGAACCUGGGUCUCAAGGUUGGGAAAUCAGCGACAUAACCAACUCAUCUGCCUUGCUAGAUGGAAUACUCCUUCCGAAAUUAAUUCAUAAAGAGUCCCUCUCGGUUCCAACUUUCGCAUUAUUGACAUUUUUAACCCCAAAAUCAAUAUCUUUUAUUUUUAUGCAACAUUUUCUUCCGAAAUUUUUAUUUUUUAAAUUUUAACUUUUAUUUUUGACUUUUGACUUAAAAAUUUGACUUUAACUUCUAAAAUUUGACCUUUGACUUUAAGUUUUGACUUUCUCGUUUGGAUUUAAAAUUUUCAAAUUUAGCUAUUCGGUUUAACUUUUCAAGUUUGACUUUCAAGUUUGAAUUUUUAAAUUUGACUUUUAGGGUUCACUUUUGAGUUUUUAGUCAAAGGGCAUAUUUUUUAAAAAUGAGAUCCUCAUCCAUUCUGGUAAUUGAGGUUUUAUUUACUCCAUCUUGUGAUGCCACAAUUAAAUUUCUCUGAGAUCAAAUCGAUUUAUUAAAAAGAGAAAAUGAGGACCUCAAAUACGAAGGCUAUACGCUUAGUGAAGGUGAGAAACCUCUGAAAGACUUUAGGAAAUUACAAGAAGAUUACAGCAACAAGUGUGAAAAUUAUGAUCACAUUAAGAAAAAAACUUGUUGUUGUAAGUGAAGAAAUUGACGCUUUGAAAAUUAAGUGUGGAAAAACAUAUGUUAGUUUCAAAAUUAUACUACGUUAAGUAAGAUAAUCAAAACAAGGGUCUAGGGUAUGAUAAUGUUCCUCCCCCUUUCAACCAUAUCUAUAUAUCCAUCCCUAUGACACAGGAAGAAAUUGAUAGGGAGACACAUCUUCAAUACGGGAAACCUACUGUGGUUGUGCCAGAAAAGGUUGAGGUAAAGGUUUCUAAUGAUUAUGUUACAUGUGCAGGUAAAGUAGCAGAAGAUGAGAACAAAGAGAAAACAAUUGAACAAUCCAACGACUCCUUGAACUCUGAAUCUGUUGCUUCGAACUCAGUUGCUUCUGAUCAACCUGUUGUUGAGAAAUACAGGCCACCAAAACAAGCAAAACUGACAGCUUGUUGCAAGUGUGCAUGUGGGAACAAGCAGAGACAAGGCAAAGACACACCACCAGGGGCCGGAAGAAACUGAUGGGUUUUGGUCAUAAGAACAUCCUAUGUGCUCAUACAAACCCUAAUGCUUGGAUCCAGGUUUCUCUAUUGUACAUGCAAUUUAUCCAAGACUAUAAACCCUAGAUCUAGCAUAUGAUAAUCAAUAUAACAUAUAAUUAGGUUUUAGAUCAUACCUUGAUUGUUAUGUAGCAAUAACAAUCUCAAACCCUCCUUGUAAUGAGUUUAGAAAGCUUAGAGUCACAAAUGUCACUCCUCUAAUGGUUCACAAAGACCAAUAGCAAGAGUAUGAAGAAGAGAGGAGAAGGAGGCUCUCAAAAACGUGUGGAAACCCUAGAUAAUAAGUUCACCACGUUUUUGGGGCAUAAGCGUUCUUUAAAUAGUGAGGCUAUUAGGAUUAUCUAACAAGGAAACCCUAAUUUGGAUGCUUAAGCCCUAAGCAACCCAUGGACUCCUUUCCUUAAAGGCCUUGGACGAUUUCUAACGGGUUUCCCCAUAGAAUUCGUCCAACCUUAUAAUAUAAGGCAAUCCAUAGCCCAAUUGCAAUUAUCUUAUAAUUACAAUUCCAGUCCCUUAAGUUUAAUUAAUCUCUUUUAGUCACAAACUUAAUUCUUAUUAAUUCUUGACUAAUAUUAAUUAAACAAUAUGAUUUCUCCUUUAAUAUAUUAUUCUCAUAAUAUAUUAAUAAAUCAUAUUUAAUCCUUUCUCUCCAUAAUUCAUCCUAUCAAGUUGCUUUGGUGAAGGCAACCCAAAAGGACCAUGCACCAUCGGGUCAAGUACAUACCAAAAUAGUUAUGGACUUAGACACUAAUCCAACAGUCUCCCACUUGGAUAAGUCUAAUAACUAUUAUGCGUAUGACUUCAGAUCCUGAUCUGCAAUCGUAGCUUUCCAAAGCCGCUGUCAACUCUGAUCCUAUCAGAUACGCGUGUCCUUUAGAUAAGGGAUCAUAUAUUCCUCCAUUCUAGAUAUCGUAUAAGAUAUGAUUUCUAAUCAUUCUCUCUGUACUAUUUCUCGACUUCCGAUUUAUGACGACUGACUAAUUGAACAAAUCAAAUUAGCCCUAGCCCGGCCGAGCAUUUACGUUUGUCAUCACUAAAUCAUCGAGGGGCCCAAAGAUAUCGCUUUUAUCCUACUUUGGAUAAAAGGAACAGAUAAACUUUGAUUUAAUGCUCGCUUGCACUCACUCACCGAAUCACAAUCAACAAUAUGUUCUAUGGCACCAAGUUCUUAGUGCGUUUACAUUUUAUCAAUGUGCAACCAAUUUGCAAGAUACAACUCACACAUCUUGGUUUCAAGAAUAUAAGAUAUUAUCGUCUCACCAAUCACUUGUGAUACAAUUCAUGGAGUGAUCCAAGUGAGCGUGGGUUUAAUCCAAUGCUCAAAUCAUAUUCAUAAGCACUCAUGAACGUUGCAGCAAACAUUUGCUUAUGUCUAAUGCUCUUUAGACAAUCCACACACCAAUUCACGACAGUCUUCAUUCAUAUCUACUUCCAACAUAUGAACGACUGUGGCCCGUUCGAAUAAUUCGAUUAUUCUUAAUAAAUUCAAUUAUUCUGGAAGUCAAAACAUGCAAAUGUGAAACACAAGAAUAAUACUAAUCCCAUAUGGCCUCAAACCUUUGAGUAUAAAUAAAACACCUUUUAUUUAUCACCAUAUCGAUUACUCAUUAUUUGUCGUUUCGGGUAAUCAACUUCUUACUUGAAUUACAACACUUGUCCCAUGCUCCUAGCAUGCACACAAUGUUUACCUAUGGUUCUUACUUUGUGAAAUAGAUCACAUUGAACACAUUUCCAAUCAUUCUCAUUUCACAACUCCAAAUCCUUUUUCCAUAAGUUAAAGAAUAUCAAAUUCUUGCUACUUAUAGAAUAUGCUAGAUUCUAACAUUCUAUGCAACUAUCCUUUCGUAAUGUCACUGCACCAAAGUCACAAAGACUAUUGCCAAUGAUAUUACAAAGUCCUCUAUCGGAGAUUGUUACAAGACAAUUCCUUAGAUGUGAUGUCUCUCACUCAAAGUACAUUCUUUUGAACAUCCUUUUGCAUAAAAGUUUCUAAUCUAGACAUAGAUUUUCAAUAUUCAAUUCCCAAUAUGGACAAGUUUCCAUAUUUUCCAUAUGACAAAUCAUUCUUAAUAGAAUCUUAUCUAUUCAUAAUAAUGUCGAUAUGGUCAAUUCAAUACUAUACUUCCAACUAGUCAGAAGUGACCAAUCCUCGGCGAACUUUGGAUUGUGCUUUGAUAGUUGUUUAAUUAUCUUAGUCAAAACCGAUUCUUGUCCUUUUUCCCUAUAAACGCGCUAGACAUUUGGAAAAUUUUAGAAUGGUCAAAUAUUAUAGCAUUUUCAAUUAAUCCUAUACCCGAAGCGUAUGAGACAUGAUGCAUAACGUCUUACAUAAAGAUUUGAUACUUUAUCAAUCUUCUGCCAUAAUAUUUUAUGUGUUAUGUUCUUAAAAUUCGAGCUAUGAAGAGGAAUGCCGUAAUCAUAAUCGAUAUUUGAGAACACACUAUGUAUCCUUGACUAAAUUUAUUAACAUUCCACAACCUAAGCCUUUAGAUUUGAAAUGAAGCAUAAUAUUCUCUCCCUUAAUUAUAGCAAAACAACUUUUCAACUAUUGCGACUUUGCAAAGUAUGACUCUUGUUUUCUAUAAUUAAUAUUGCUAACCUUGCAAUACUUUCCUUAAUAAUCAUACAAUCAUAACUUUUAUGCUCCCACUAUCUUGAUGAUUAUUAUAAAACAUAACACUUAUGCUCCCACUAGCUUCGACAUGUAUUCAUAAACAUCUUAACUUUCAGAAAAAAAAUGCUUAUUGAAUUUCUUAAGUUCAUGUUUCUAAUACUUAGUGCUUUGAUAAUCUUUUAUCAAGGUUUCUUGAACUUAUACACCUUUGCCUUCGAUAGUUCAUAUGUGUGUCUAAACAAUUAAGACUAAUUGCCAAACCUCACAAUUCAAAUUAUGGAAAGGGAUACCGUAACCAUAAUUGAAUUCGAGAAAUCAAUUUCACAAUCACUAUCUUCUUAAAAUCUUUCUUAGUGAAAGCAUUUCCUCACAGUCACUUUCAUGAAGGAGGGAAUCUUAUGAAACUUAGAUUUUAAUGGUGUAUGUGUUCCUAUCCAUGUGAAUUUGUCAAAACCAAAGUUUACGACAAAUGCAUACUCAUAUGGACCGAACUAUCUUAAUCUUAAUUUCUUGCCUUAUAGUAGCACAGCUGCCCACCAUGUCUUCCAAGUAUUUAAGUAGCUCACCUUUUCCUAUCAAUGUACUUUUCAUUGAUCAAGGUCCUUGCCUUUUAUGCAUUCAAAUGAGAACUCAUAGGGCUCACAUGCAUAAUUAACUCAAUUGGAACGACAUAGAAACAAUGUAGUGUCAACACAAUAGGUUGUAAACCUCAACUUGUGUGCUAGUGAUGAUCAAUAAGGUUUAUUUUGAUUUGUUCUUGAAACCUUUCAAGACCAUUUAGACUCCCACUGACUCCUUGACAUAUAAGAUUCUCUUGUCAAUAAACAUUUCUUGACAAAAAAAUAUUCAAGAGUUAGUGUAGUUUAAAACACUUCAUAAAUUUGGUCCUAGUUGGUCUUUGUCUUAUCCAAGACAUCACAACUUUCCACAUUUGAUGAAUGCUAUAAACCUUCUUAAUACUUUUCACUCAAUGUCACAAUCUUAACUCUAAGACUUGUUUUGGAACGAAGUAUGAUUGACUUCUUGAUUUAACCAUUUCUUCAAUUCUUGAUUCCUCUUCUUAGACAUACAAUUGUACUAAGACUCACUUAGAGGAUCAAUUGAGAUAUGGUUGUUAAUCAUUAAGAUCUAUCAUAAAGCAUAAAAGGUACUCUCCCUUCUUAGAAUGGAGAAACUUUUAUCUUUCUGCCUACAUUAUUCUUCUUAUUCGUUCGGCUAUUGAUUUAAACCUUUUCAAUCAAUUCAGAAUUACACUUAAUCUUAUAAGUAUAAUCAUAUUUACUAAACCUUUAGUAAAUCAUGACGAAUGUCUUUGUUACUCUUGUGGUGGACUUGAUCAACACACAACUUUGUGUACUCGAUCUCCUAGUCCUUCACUUGACACUUUGUCAAUGAAUUAGUCUAAUUUCCAAAUAUGAAAUUUCUCAUUCAUCGUGCAACCAAGUUGCAUGAUUCCAAGUUUCUGUCCAAUUGAAACUUGGGCGAUGAGAAACUCUCCCUAUUUGGUAAACUCUCGACUUUCCAUAAAUAACAUAAUAAGAACCAAAUCCAUUAUUGCUAAUAAUAGAAACAUUCAAACAUUAAUUUUUCAUAUACGCCAUUGCAAGGAUAAAUAAAUAAUAUAAAAUCAAAAUUUAUUUUAUUGCGGAAAAAUUUGUCCUUACAAUGCAAUUCAUUGAAAAACUAUGCUAAUACAUCUUUCUUAGCAAUCUAAUUCCAACUCUAAGUAGUAGCCCAAGAAUCUAAUCUUCAAGUAAUGCGAUCGAAAUCCAUUUCUUCAUGGUUAGAUUCUGCUCACUUCUUCCCUUAAGCUUCCUCUAUUUUCUUCGAUCCUACAAAACAUCAAUUGUAAUCUUAUCACAUUAUGUAUUAAGAAUCUAGAAUAGGAGCUUCAAAGAUUUAGUCAACGGAUUUUAACUAAAGCAGAGCCAUACGUUUUGAAUCUCCUUUCUCUUAGAUCUCUUAGGUAAAUAGGGCAGCUUCGUCUCCAAUGCCCCUUUUGGAACAGGACAUGGAACUACUUCAGACAUUGCCUUUCUCUUAUGAUCAAACUUUCCGAUCAUAGCAUAUCUUUCGUUGCCAUUGUCUAUAUCCAUAGAGGUCUUGAAGGCAGAUUCUCCAAUCAACUUUGCCUUUCUAUUGCGCCAAACCAUUGCUGAUUCAGCAGCAAUAAUCAUAUAGGUGAGAUCUAUAAGGGUCACGUCGCAGUUCAUCAUAUAGUACUCUCUUACGAACUCACUAUACGAGUUAGGAAGUGACUGAAGAACCCAAUCAACAGCCAUCUCCUCACAGGCAACGGAUCCCAACAUUCUUAACCUAUCAAUGUGUGACUUCAUCCCUAGGACGUGUGCACACACCGACUUUCCCUCUUCAUGUUUACUUGCCAACAGGGCUUGAGUAAACUUGAACUUUUCAAGCCUUCGAACUUGUGGGUUUGGGAGAAUAAUUGGAGGAGGUGGAGGAAUUGAAGCAUGAUUUCUUGUUCCUCGAUCGAAUCAUGGAAUAUCAUCUUCAUGUGGAAAGCUUAUUCCACGGGAUUUGGGAAGACCAUAGUUGUUGUACUUUGACAUCUACAGAAUGGGAGAAAACAAAGUCAAGUUAGUUGAUCGAAUGAGUCCUUAGUAAAUCACCCAAAUGAUAUACUAAGGCUAGGACCCAACACAAUACACUACAACCUAGAAAAGGGAUGUCGUAAUCUAGUUGCAAAAUAUUUGAAGGUAAGUGAAUGACGAUUCACUAAUUUCCACCACAAAAAACGAAAAAGAAAUUUAAGUUUUAAAUCUAUGAAAACUUCUAGAUCCUUUGAGAUUCAUUGAACAUUUCAAUGGCAUGUUUAAAUCUCGAUAUGCCCCUCUAGUUUGUGACUGGGAUGCCGAGGAUCACAAAGCGGGUGUGAAUAACCAUGCAAACUUACAUGGUGCCCUCACAUGUUACAGUCACCUAUUCGAUGUGCCGGUAAACCACACACGCUCCACCGAACUAUCACAAACUUUGAGUCACCCUUUGCUACCUUUGCUUAGAACCAUUUAAUGUGCCUGUACACCACAUACGCUCCACUAACGUCUUGUCACACCCCAAAACCAAGAACGACGGAAACCUUCCGGGGUGGAGGACGUCAUGUACAGUAUCACAACAGUGUAAAGUAGUAAAUAAGCAACAACAUCAUCCAUUGCAUUAUAAGUAAAGUUUUAAUACAUUUGUGUUCUUUCAUUGUAAUAAGACACAAACAAUAUACAAUCAAAAUAAAAGACGAGACUUGUCUGUGCUCCGUAUUCUCGAAACCUGGCCAUCGUACCUGUCUACUGGUGACCUGAGAAUACAAGUUAUUUUGAAAGAGAGUAUCACCUUGAAAGCUGGUGAAUUCAUAAGUAUUUAAGUGUCAUUGCCUUGCUUUGAAAAGAUGUUAUGAAUGUCAUGUAAAACCUUUAAGUAAGACAGUUGAUGUAAGUAUGAAAACCCUAAGAAAUCCCUUAUUUCCUACUAUUAUAAAAUGUAGUCUCCUACCAAGACCCGAAUGUUUUGUUAUGACAAUGUAGUCUUCCACCAAGACCCGAAUGUUUUGUUAUGACAAUGUACUCUUCUACCAAUACCCGAAUGUUUUGUUAUGACAAUGUAGUCUUCUACCAAGACCCGAAUGUUUUGUUAUGAUAAUGUAGUCUUCUACCAAGACCCGAAUGCUUUGUAAGUAAAAUGAUAGUUUUUCCUUCUUUUUGACUACUACAAACAGUAAUUAGUCUAACUCAUCGUUUAUGUGAAUAUAUCAAAAAAUAAAGUAAAUAGGAAAAAUAUAACCAUGUAAGUGUUAUCCCUGGAUACCAGGACUAACACGCCAUCGUAGUAAGCGAUAUGUAUAACCUAAUGAACAUCCGAAGAUUGUCCAAUUUUCCUCUGUAGCAGCAGCAGGGUGGAGGAAGGGUUAGUCCCGUAGCCAACUCCUAAUAUGAGUGGUAACCUUAUGAUUACCCGAAGAUUUUCAUCUCAUCCUCUGUUGCAACAGUAGGAUGGAGGAAUGGUUAGUUCCGAUAUCAAUCUAUCAAUUAUAAGUGAUAACCUUAGACAUCCGUAGAUGCUCAUCACCCAGUGGUGCUAACAGCUGGGUUCCGAAAUGGUUAGUCCCGUCUAGACAUCCCGUAGAAUCAGGGAUAGGCAGGAAAAUUUACACAGAAGGUACGAAUAAAUCUUCCUCAUAACUCUAGGUACAAGUAUCCAGGUAAGUGAAGACAGGAUAAUGUAUCUAUGUAACCAUACUCAUGUAUGAUAUUCAUGUAAGCAUAUUCAGAUAAAAGUAUCUAUGAAAACGUACUUAUGUAUCAUGUAAUCCUAGAUAAAUGUACUCAUGUAUCAUGUACUAACUGGUAUAGACUCAUGAAUGAACUGACUCUUGUGUAAUUCCUUGUAAUAGGAAUAUUGUUUUGUAUCUUCUAACUAUCCCUAUGAUAAUUAACUGAAAGGCAAUUGUUUGUUCAAGAAGGUAAACGUAAUGGUUUUGCAAGAUAUCUAAGAGUUUUGAAUAAUAAUUAAGAGUGACUUGAUGUCAUGUUAAUAAACAUUUCAAAACUAAUACUUUUGUUAUCAAGGUAUUUUAAGAUGGAAAACCAUUUCAUGCAUCACAUUUUGUAGUAUGUGAAAUCUGCUGGAUGAAAACACAGUUAUAACAUACAUAUGAGUGAUUUAAUAACAUGUUGUUUUCUACUUGUAUUUGAUGGGUUUUAUGCAUAAGAACAAUCCUAUGUGCUCAUACAAACCCUAAUGCUUGGAUCUAGGUUUCUCUAUUGUACAUGCUUUGAAUCCAAGACUAAUAACCUUAGAUCUAACAUAUUAUAAACUGAAUUAGGGUUUAUAGAAUUACCUUUAAUUGUUAUAUAGUAAUAACAAUUAAUUCCUUGCUUGGAUUGGCCUUAGAAAGCUUAGUGCCUCAAGUGUUGCACCUCUAAUGGAGUCACAAACACCAUAUACAACUUGGAUGAAGAGGAGAAGAAGAGAGGCUGCCCAAAAAANAUUUGACUGCUUAGGCCCUAAGCAGCCCAUGGACUCCUUAAACAUAUCCCUUGGACGAUUUCUAAUGGGCUUCCCAUAGAAUUCGUCCAACCUAUAUAUUAUUAGGUGAUCCAUAGCCCAAUUAUAAUUAUCUUAUAAUUACAACUUCAGUCCCCUAAGUUUAAUUAAUCUCUUUUAGCCACAAAAUUAAUUAACAAUUAAUUCUUGACUAAUAUUAAUUAAACAAUAUGAUUUCUCCUUUAAUAUAUUAUUCUCAUAAUAUAUUAAUAAAUCAUAUUUAAACCUUUCUCUCCUUAAAUCAUCCUACAUAUUGCUAUGGUGAAGGCAACCCAAAAGGACCAUGCUCAUAAUCGGGUCAAGUACAUACCAAAAUAGUUAUGGACUUAGACACUAAUCCAACAGUAUUCCCCCCAUUGAAGCAUUUAAAAACAUUUAAAAUAUUCAUUUAGGGGUAUGAACUCACCUGUAGAUGGUGGUUUGGAUGAACUGGACGGUGUAGGAUUGUUAGGUGUCAAGUGAGGACUUGUACACACACAACGAUCCUAAUGAACAUAUAAUCACACAUAUAUGCACUCAAUUAGUCUUAAAUUACUAAUUGAUAAUGUUAAAACAUCCUAGAACAUAAUAAACACUUUAUAUAAGUGUUAUAAGCCCUAAGGAUUUCAUCUAAGCUAUUGUGGGACAAGGAACUUGGGUUUAGGGUUCCAAAGGACCCUAUACUUGAGUUUACUCUCCAUAUAUUCUCACACAUGGAGUUUACGGUUGUAAACUCUUGAGUUUACGGCCAUAAACUCCCAAGCUUGGUGGUAUUUUGUGUUUUGAAGUUCUAAAUGACCCUUAGAAUUAUUCCAACUUGGUGGUUAAAUUCUUGGAAACGUUUAAGGCAUAGAAACACUCCUUUGAGGAGUUUACAGACCUAAGGCCAUUUCCUUUAGAUUUUGCAGCCGUAAACUCUUAAGGAAAGGUGUUUUUGAUGCUUUCAAGACUUUUGCAUAUGUGCUUGGUGGUAUUUUGUGUUUUGAAGUUCUAAAUGACCCUUAGAAUUAUUCCAACUUGGUGGUUAAAUUCUUGGAAACGUUUAAGGCAUAGAAACACUCCUUUGAGGAGUUUACAGACCUAAGGCCAUUUCCUUUAGAUUUUGCAGCCGUAAACUCUUAAGGAAAGGUGUUUUUGAUGCUUUCAAGACUUUUGCAUAUGUAGGAUAGGUUCUAGACUUUUACCUAAAGCAUAUGAAGGCAUUAGGCACACUUUGGUGCCCUUGUUUGAUGUUCACGGCCCAAGAACCUUAUUAGGGCCGUGAACUCACUUUGAUGGGUGAUUUUGAUGUGCUUUGGUCCUUCAUUUAAGUGGAAACAAUUCCUAGCAAAUGUCUAAGACUUUAGGUGCCUUAAAAGCACCCUUUUGUCCAUGAUUUUGGAGUUCACGGUCCACGAUCAUCUUGGGCCGUGAACACCUAAACUUGGGUGAUUAUUUGUUGUUUUCGUGUCCCAAAUACACUUCUAUACAAGUCCAACAUAAUACCAUAACACAAGGGAAGGUCUAUGUCACACCCCAAAACCAAGAACGGCGGAAACGUUCUGGGGCGGAGGACGUCAUGUAUAAUAUCAACAACAAUGUAAAGUAGUAAACAAGCAACAACAUCAUCCAUUGCAUUAAUAAUAUAAUUAUUAUACAAAUGUGUUCUGUCAAAUUUUGAUAAACACUAAAGCAUAAAUCAAAAUGAAAGAUAAGUCUUGAACAAGCUCCAUCUUCCUUUCUCCUUGCAUCGGUACCUGUCUAUGAUGACCUGAGGAUACAAGUAAUUUUGAAAGCGAGUACCAGCUUUGAAGCUGGUGAGAUCAUAAGUAUUUAGUGUCUUAAUUUGUAUGUAAGAAUUUGUAAGUAUAUGUAUUGUAAGUAUUUAAAGUGUAUAUGAACUGUAAGUGUUUGAAAAACCCUAGAAUCCCUAUGAUUCCUACUAGUAUAUGAAGGUGUCUUCUACCAAGACCUAACUGNUCUACCAAGACCUAACUGUUCUAAAUGUGUGUCUCUUGUAAGAUUAUGUAUGUUCCCAAGUAUAACUAUCAUUAUCCAAAAAUAUAGUUUCUACAUUACCGUGCGUCGUGUGAAUGUUCACGAAGUGAAUGUAAUGGGAAAAUGAAAUAGUACUACGGUGUAGUGCUAUAAGAACUACUGCCUUACUAACUACCUUAAAUCGGAUUUAUAUUAAGGCAUUAAGUGAUAAAUUGCACCAUACUAUUGACUAGUAACAACGACAUAAUGAAUGGUCGUAAUAACAGAAUGACGUUUGGCACCUGCAGACCUGCAGGUCUGGCUGUAGCUAGCAGCAAGGUGUAGGAUUGUCAAUCCAGUAUAGAUUUAUACGCAAACUCACGCUCUCCCUUCAAGAGACUCUGGGUACAAAUCGAAUCAUGACAUUUAAGUCAUGCUCCGAUUUAAAUCACAAUAAUUAACGUAUUCUUGUAUAUGUAAUGUAAUGAACUGUUCUAGCUGUAAUGUACAUGCUCUCUAUCUAGCAAGUACAGUAAUGUAAUCAUCCUAGUAUAGUUGUAUAUGUAAUGUACUGUAAUGUUCUAGAAAGUAUUGACUCAUGAAUGAACUGACUCAUUGUAUGAUAUAGCGUUCUAGUAAUUGUUCUAGUAUCUUCCUAAACUACCCAUAUGGUAGUUUACUAGUAAUCUAACUGGUACGUAUGGACAUGGAUGUAUACCCUUGCUACCCAAGGGCAUGGGAUGAACUGGAAGGACCUUUUAUGACUAUAUAUGUACACAUGAUAUAUAACUAAUAUUUAAACGACCUUCGGACGAGUACCCGAUAUCCCACCAGACCACAUCUCAAGCGCGAAAAGGAAAUAGGGUGGAUAGCCUUCCUAAGUCUUUUAAACAUUUCUUAUAUAACUAUACAUAUAGAGGCAUGCAAUUUAUAAUAUAAAAGCAUAAAUAAGUUUUGUAAGACAUUUGAAACAUAAUUAUUAUUUUAAGAAAAGAUCGACUUGAUGUCAAUCUAUAAAACAAUUUGAAGGCAUGGGUUUGAUAAAACAUUUAAGUAUAAAGAAACAUUUGUUUGAAACACAAUUGUAAAUAAGUUUGAAAUGUAAUAUACAGAGUAAAAUGUACAGUGUAAUAAGGAGUUUAAAACAUAUAAAAUGUUUAUAAAAAUCAUUUGAAGGAAACUGUUUGGUAAAACGGCUAAUGAGUAGCCAAAUCAUUUGAAUGUUGUAUAUUAAUCACAUGUGAUUGAUAUAAUAACUAGCAUAAUUCUACUUAUUAAUCACAUGUGAUUGAUAUAAUAACUAGCAUGAUUCUACUUGUAUCCCCCCCAUAAAACAUUUAAAAAUAGUUUAAAACAUUAAUUAAGGGGUAUGAACUCACCUGCAGUAAGUGACUGGAAUUGAACGGACUGUUAUCGUAAGGAAGGAUCGGACAAGUGCUUGGUGUCAAGUGAAGACUUUAGACACACACAAUGAUCCUAAUUACAUAUGAAGACAUAUGUAUAUAAAUAAUUAGUGAUUAAAACACUAAUUAUACAAGUAUAAACAUUUAAACGCGAGGAAAACACUUUUGGUCAAGUGCUAGGAGGCUAAUGGGUUGCAACAAAGGAGUGCAAUGCCCCUAAUGGGAGUUUAACGUCUAAUGACCAUAUUCUUUGGAGUUUACGGCCCAGGGGAGUAAACUCAUGGCCGUAAACUCUCAACAAAGGCUCUAAAUGGUGCUUAGAAUUAUUACAACUCUAGUGGUGAAUUGUUUCGAGGCUAUAACAAGUGUUUGGGUACCAUAUUAACUCCUUUGGGGAGUUUACGGCCCAUAGACCAUAUUCCCUUGGAGUUUACGGCCGUAAACUCCCUUGGGAGGGUUCUUAUGGUGUUUUCAAGUCUCUAACAUUUCUAGGUAAUGAUCUAUGUUGGGUUCUAGGCAUAAGGAAGGAGUUAGGGUGUCAUUUGACCCCUUUAUAUGUGUUUACGGCCCAAGAGUUUAUCUUGGCAGUAAACUCCUUUUUCCUUGUGAUUCCUUAUGUUUUCUUGGCUUUAAACACUUUAGGGUACUUGUCCUAAUUGAAGUCUAAACUUUAGGAGGUGUUUCAAAGCAUUUUGGCAUGUUCAAGGGAGUUUACGGCCUAAGAUAUUCUUGGGCCGUGAANAGUGUUAGAAUGCUCAAAACCCAUCAAUUAUAGGUUGAUUUAAUGUCCCUAAUACAAGUAGAAUACUUUCUAGGCAUUUGAUUAAGGCUAUGGAGGACCCUAGGCACACUUUGGUGCCCUUAUUUGGUGUUUACGGCCUAAGAGCAUUCUCUUGGCCGUAAACUCCCUUUUAAGGGUGUCUUUGAGUGUUUCCUAGUCUCAAAUGAUCAUACAUAAUAUCCUAAGAUAGUUACCUAACAAGGAAAUGGGACUAGAUGGCCUUNNNNNNNNNNNNNNNNNNNNNNNNNNNNNNNNNNNNNNNNNNNNNNNNNNNNNNNNNNNNNNNNNNNNNNNNNNNNNNNNNNNNNNNNNNNNNNNNNNNNNNNNNNNNNNNNNNNNNNNNNNNNNNNNNNNNNNNNNNNNNNNNNNNNNNNNNNNNNNNNNNNNNNNNNNNNNNNNNNNNNNNNNNNNNNNNNNNNNNNNNNNNNNNNNNNNNNNNNNNNNNNNNNNNNNNNNNNNNNNNNNNNNNNNNNNNNNNNNNNNNNNNNNNNNNNNNNNNNNNNNNNNNNNNNNNNNNNNNNNNNNNNNNNNNNNNNNNNNNNNNNNNNNNNNNNNNNNNNNNNNNNNNNNNNNNNNNNNNNNNNNNNNNNNNNNNNNNNNNNNNNNNNNNNNNNNNNNNNNNNNNNNNNNNNNNNNNNNNNNNNNNNNNNNNNNNNNNNNNNNNNNNNNNNNNNNNNNNNNNNNNNNNNNNNNNNNNNNNNNNNNNNNNNNNNNNNNNNNNNNNNNNNNNNNNNNNNNNNNNNNNNNNNNNNNNNNNNNNNNNNNNNNNNNNNNNNNNNNNNNNNNNNNNNNNNNNNNNNNNNNNNNNNNNNNNNNNNNNNNNNNNNNNNNNNNNNNNNNNNNNNNNNNNNNNNNNNNNNNNNNNNNNNNNNNNNNNNNNNNNNNNNNNNNNNNNNNNNNNNNNNNNNNNNNNNNNNNNNNNNNNNNNNNNNNNNNNNNNNNNNNNNNNNNNNNNNNNNNNNNNNNNNNNNNNNNNNNNNNNNNNNNNNNNNNNNNNNNNNNNNNNNNNNNNNNNNNNNNNNNNNNNNNNNNNNNNNNNNNNNNNNNNNNNNNNNNNNNNNNNNNNNNNNNNNNNNNNNNNNNNNNNNNNNNNNNNNNNNNNNNNNNNNNNNNNNNNNNNNNNNNNNNNNNNNNNNNNNNNNNNNNNNNNNNNNNNNNNNNNNNNNNNNNNNNNNNNNNNNNNNNNNNNNNNNNNNNNNNNNNNNNNNNNNNNNNNNNNNNNNUCAUCAAUUCUCGAAAUGCACAGACAUGGGACAUUCUGGACCUCCGAAAUGUCUCAAUACAGGGUUACACUCGUUUAGGGGACUAGGGUAACAUUCAAUCUAAUCACAAAAGGGUUCCAUAAACCCUAAAUCCAUAAAUACAUCAAUAUAGCAGAGUAUACUCGAAUUCUUACCUGGAUGAUGUAUUCUCUGUGUCCCCAAUCCUCAGAAUGUGACUCCUUUGCUGUUCCUUUAGCCAAGUCCUUCUCUUCCUUGCACAACAACUCUUCUAUAAUCAACAAUGGCCUAUAAUCCUUGCUCCAGAUGCACACACUCGAUUUAGGGUUCUUCUCAGAAGGCUAAACUGAACAAUGACGGCCAAUAAGUGCCUCUUAUACGUCCCAAACCUGAACGGUUAGGGUUUUCGCUAAACAGCGCAGACUCGCCGAGUCCAGUCGCGAACCCGCGACCCGGUCUGCGAUCCUACUCGGCGAGUCUAGGCUCCAACUCGCCGAGUCCCCUCUUAAAACACCCCAAAAUCAUAAUUAUAUCAAUAUUUGGAAUCUCGGGCUGUUACAAAAGAGUUUUGAACAAUAAAUAAAUAAUGACUUGAUGUCAGUUUAUAAAACGAUUUAAAAGUAGAUUGUUUUGAAACACAAUUUGAAGUAUAAGAAAUCCUUGUUUGAAACACAGUUAUAAAUCACAUGUGAUUGAUCUUAUAGCUAGCAUGAUUUUUGCUUGUAUUCCCCCUAUAAACGCAUUUAAAAUCAUUUAAAAGAUAAGUUUAAGGGGUAUGAAGUCACCUUAAGUGAGUGAUGCGAUAGUAGGAUUGAUAACGGAUACUAAGUGUCAAGUGAGGACUUGAACACACACAAUGAUCCUAGUGAACAUAUAAAGAAACAUAUAUGUAUCUAAUUAGUCAUUUAUCAACUAAUUAACCAAGUUAAAACAACCUAGGACAUGGAAACACUUUGAUUUAAGUGCUAUUGAUACCAAAGGGUUGCAUCUAUGGGUUGUAUGGCAUGACAUUGGAGUUUAUGGCCUAAGAACCACUCCUUAUGGAGUUUACGGCCCAUGGUCAUUUCCCCAUGAGUUUAUGGCCGUAAACUCAUGGUACUAAGUACCAUUUGGUGUUUUGAGGUCUUAUAAGUCAAGAUUGGGCAUCCAAUGAUCAAGUCCAAGCCUUAGAAAAGCAUUAGAGGCACAAUAUCACUACUUUGUAGAGUUUACAGCCUAAGGACCCUAUCCUUAUGUGUUUACGUCCGUAAAAUCUUAUGGGGAUAUGUUUUGAUUGUUGCUUAAGGUCUUAAACACUUCUAGCAAGGAUCAAGACUAGUAUCCUAGGCUUAGGAAGGGACUAGGAUCCAUUUAACCCCAUUUAGAAGGGUUUACGGCCCAAGAACAUCCCUUGGCUGAAAACUUCUUUGAUCUUAUGUUUCUUGGUGAUUUUCAAGUGUAAACAAGUUCAUAUUAAGCAUACAAGAAGAUAGGGCAAGUAUACUUACAAGAUAGAAGAUUAAUUUGGUGUUUAAGAUCCAUGAACACUAGUGUGUGUUCUUGGUGUUCUUGGUGUUUUGAAGAACACUUGAAGAUCUAAGUGAAAAUCAAGAAUAGAUGGAUGAAAUGAUGUAUAAACACUAGAUGUUAGGUUCUAACAACAAUUCAAGUCGAGAAACACUUACGUUUUCGGAAGAUCGGGUGAAGAACGGGAUGCUACUUGAGAGAGAUUGGGGAGUGUUCUUGAGGGUGGAAGUGAGAAAUGAGGGAAUUGGGGAGUAAACUCAUGCCUAAGGCAUGAGUUCACGGCCAUGAUAGAGUUCACGGCCCAAAAUCCCUUUGUUUGGCCAUGAACAUCUAACUAAGGUGUUGGUUGUUCCAUUAUUAUCCCGAUAUUCUAGAAAUCACUUCCUUUUAUCCGUUCGAUCCAUGAAUAAAUAAUAAAAAUACUCUAACGGACUUUUAAACUGGCUAAAAUUUAGCAACAAAGUAUUUAACUUUUAAUUGAAGUUCUUGACUUUAGAGUUUGUACGAAUGAAAAUUCUGGGUUGUCACAAAUUGGGCACGUGACUACACUUCAGCACAUCCUAUCAUCCACAAGCAGAAAUUCAGAGUGAAAGGACCAUACAGACUCUUAAGGAUAUGCUGAGAGUCUGCGUUAUUGAAUUCAGUGGGAGCUGGGACUCCUACCUACCACUUGCAGAGUUCUCCUACAACAACAGCUUUCAUUCUAGUAGUGUUGCUCCACCAUAUGAGUUGUUUUAUGGAUGGAGAUGUCGCACUCGAGUCUAGUGGGGUGAGAUCGGUCAUAGGGUGAUGAGAAGGACGAAGGUAGUGUUGGGUUUUGAGCAUUCUAACACUCCUAAGUGUACAUACAACCCUAAAUACCUUGGAUCUAUGUUUUCACUAUUAUACAUGCAAGUAUGAACAUCCAAGGUAUUAUCCUAAUCUAGCAUACAAAACAAUGAAUAUAACAAGAUAGAAUACAUACCUCUUUGGUGUAGAAUGUUCUCAAGAAGCUUGAGUGCCUAGUGCCCCAAGUGUGACACCUCAAAUGGCUCACACAACACCAAUUGCUUUUGGAAUAACCUUGAGAGAAAUGUAGAACACUUGAAAUCGGCUAGCCCUUCUCUAUUUACCAUAGUUGCCGAUUUUUCCAAGAGUAUGAUCUUUAUAUAGUGUUACAAUUAGGGUAAACCCUAACUGUCAUGACUUUCCAUUUCCUUGGAUCCAUGGGUUCAAAUACACCAUGGAGCAUCCUAUGGGUUUUAUCCCAACUUGAUAAUCCAUGGAGCAUUAGCCCAUUUAUUUACACAAGUAUACAAGUAUGGAUGAUUUACACAAUCAAUCCAUAUAUUUAAGUAGUCUUCUUUUGAUCACUUAAUUAAUUCUUGAUCAAUACUAAUUAAAUAAUCUUAUUAAUAUAUUAGAACUUAUAAUAUAUUAACAAACCUUAAGUGUUAUUUCUCUCAUUAUAGUCUAUCCAAAUGCAUGAUGCCAUGCAACCCAAAUGGACCAUGCCGGGUCGGGUCAAGUCUUACCAAUUAUAGUUAUGGACUUAGACAUUAAUCCAACAGUCUCCCACUUGGAUAAGUCUAAAACUAUUAUUGCGUAUGACUUCAGGAACCAACUGGCAAUCGUAGCUCUCAAAAGCUUCUGUCGAACUCUGACCUUGUCGAUGAACUCUGACCUUUGUCAAUGACUUGUCCAUUAGAUAAGGGAUCAUAUAUUCCUCCAUUCUAGAUAUCAUAUGGACUGAGACAUGGAUUAUAAUCAUUCUCUCUGUCCAUUUGUUGUUUCCCGAUUUCCGAUUUAUGACGACUGACUAAUUGAACAAAUCAAAUCAGUCCUGGCCCGGCCGAGCACUUCCAUUUGUCAUCAUCAAAUCAUCGAGGGGCCCACAGAUAUCGCUUUUAUCCCGAAGGUAAAAGGAAUGGAUAAACUUCGACUCAUAUGGCUUGUUCUACUACUUGUUGAAUCAUACACAAAGGCACGUUUUAUAGCACCGAGUUACCAAAUGCGNUUGAAGAAUAUAAGAUAUUAUCGUCUCAUGAUCACUCGUGAUAAAAUCCAUGAAGUGAUUCAAAUGAGCGCGGGUUGAAUCCAAUACUCAGAACUUAUGAGCACUCAUGAGCGUUGUAGCACAACUUUGUCCACCAACUUGGACCUCUACAAGCCAACCCAUGACAGUCUUGAUUCAUAUCUACUUCCAACAUAUGACCGACUGUGGAUGGUUUAAAUAACUUAGUCAUUCCGGAAGAAUAACCUAGUUAUUAUGGAAGUCAAAACAUGCAAAGUGAAACACAAGAAUAAAUGAAUCAAAUAUGGUAUCAAACCCUAUGAAUAUAAAUAGACCACUUCUAUUUAUCACCAUACUGAUUACUCAUUAUUCAUUGUUUCAGUUUUAUCAACUUUAUACUUGAAUUAAAACACUAGGUAUCCCAUGCUCCAAGCAUGUACACUAUGUUUUUCUAAACAAUAGCUUUGACAUACACCAAGUAUGCACUCUAUGUUUAUCUAUGAUCCUUACUUUGUGAAAUAAACCAAUUGACCAAACUUUCAAUGAUUCUAAUUUCACACUCCCAAAUUGAAAUCUUGUUAGGCUUUAAACUUAAAUGCACUACCCUCUUGCAAUGAAUGUGUACAAAGUCAUAAAGACUUGUCAACAACCAUUACAGGGUAUUCCAAUGAAGACCUACUCCAUUGUCACAAAGCCUUAUGUCCAAAGUAUGCAUUUCUUUGAACAUGCUUCUUGCACUAAGUUCUUUAUGAUCUUACACAGAUUGCUUCCAUCUAUAGAGACAACUCCAUUUCCCAUUUUGACUACUACUUCUAAACAAGAGUUGCCUCCUUUCAAACUAUGUCAAUAUGGUCCUUUCAAAAUUCACACUAUACUUCCAACUGUCCUUGAGCAACCAAUCUUUGGUAAACCAUAGAUUGUCCUCAACAAUUGCUUAAUCACUUUGGUCAUAUCCAAUUCUAGACAUUUUCCUCCUUAAUGCCCCAAGACAUUUGGAAAAUUCAUAAAGAAUAAAUAUUAUAGAACAUGUAAUCGAUCUUGUACCCAAAGUAAAUGGGACACGAUUCAUGAUGUUUCACCUAAAGACAUGGUUCUAGACCAUUCUUUUGCCAUAAUAAUUUUUGUUUUCCAUAUUCUCAAAAUUUUACUAGGAAAGGGAUGACGUAAUCAUAAUCGAAUUUUGAGAACGCAAUAUAUAGAAUUUUCUUAAGUUGAACCAAUCCAACAUGAAAUUCAUAUAUAUAUAUAUAUNNNNNNNNNNNNNNNNNNNNNNNNNNNNNNNNNNNNNNNNNNNNNNNNNNNNNNNNNNNNNNNNNNNNNNNNNNNNNNNNNNNNNNNNNNNNNNNNNNNNNNNNNNNNNNNNNNNNNNNNNNNNNNNNNNNNNNNNNNNNNNNNNNNNNNNNNNNNNNNNNNNNNNNNNNNNNNNNNNNNNNNNNNNNNNNNNNNNNNNNNNNNNNNNNNNNNNNNNNNNNNNNNNNNNNNNNNNNNNNNNNNNNNNNNNNNNNNNNNNNNNNNNNNNNNNNNNNNNNNNNNNNNNNNNNNNNNNNNNNNNNNNNNNNNNNNNNNNNNNNNNNNNNNNNNNNNNNNNNNNNNNNNNNNNNNNNNNNNNNNNNNNNNNNNNNNNNNNNNNNNNNNNNNNNNNNNNNNNNNNNNNNNNNNNNNNNNNNNNNNNNNNNAAUGUUGUAAUGAUAGUCUCAAAUGGUUAGACCUUUUCUAUUUCUCAUAAGUCCAUGUUAGUGUGCCGACUAACAACUUUGAGAAUGCAAAGAUUACUAUCUAUUUACAAAUCUACUUAGUGGAAGUGUUUCCUCACCAUCAUUUUCAUGAAUAGGAGAGAAACCUUAUGACACUUAGAUUUUUAUGGUGUAUGAGUUCCUGCCCAUAUGAAUUUUUCAAAACCAUAAUCACAAGACAAGGUUAGUGACAAAUCUAAAUUCAUAUGGAAUGAACUUAUGCAAAUUUUACUUCUUGCCACCUGGCAGUAAAGGGCCUGCCAUUGCUUCCAAGUUGUUAUAAAACCAAUUGAGAACUCUAAGAACUCAUAUGCAAAGCCAACUUUCACUGGAAUGGGCACAGAAAUGUCAACACAAUAGGUUAUACACCUCAAGUCGUGUGCUAGUGAAGAACCUCAGGUUUUAUUCUUGAUUAGUUCUUGAGACUUUCAAGACCUUUAAGACUCCCACUGUCCUCUUGACAUAUAAGACUCUCUUGUCACAUAUUCAAGAGAUAGUGCAGAUUCUUUAUAAAUACAAACGCUUCACACAAUUGGCCUAAGUUGGUUUUUGUUUUAUCGAAAACAUCACAACUUGCCAAUUUCAAAUGUAGAAGAGUAGGACACUUUUACUCUUACAUUUGACAAGUGUUCUAAACCGUUCUUUUGGAUAUGUCACUCAACUUACAGUCUUGGAGUAUGACUCUAAGACUUGUUUUGGAAUAGAGUAUGGCUCAUCUUCUUGAUUUGAUCACUUCAACAAUUCAUAGCUCCUCUUCUUAGCUAUCAUAAUGCACUUAAAGGAUGAAUUGUGAUAAGGUCUCUUAAUCAAUAAGAUGAUCAUAUAAUAUGAUACUAAAGUACUCUACCAUCUUUUCAGAUUUGAGAAACUUUUAUCCUUCUGCCUAAUUUGAUUCUUCUCGUUCGUUCUGCCAUACAUUGAAAAUUUUCCAAUGUAUCAGAAUUAUACAUAAGCUUGUAAGUAUAACCAUAUUUACUAAACCUUACUAAAUCAUGACGAAUAGUCUUAUGCAUCUUUUGUGGUGGACUUUGACAAGUGCACAUGAAAGUGUACUCGAUCCUUUAGUCCUUUACUUGAGUCACACAUCCAUGUGAACAAGUAAUUAGUCUUAAUUUUCCAAUGUUUGAAAGUUCUCAUUCAUCAUAAUAUACAACUUGCAUGAUUCCAAGUUUCGGUCCAAUUGAAACUUGGAUGAUGAGAAAUUUUUCUUUAUUUGGUAAAUUUAGACACUAUCACAAAUGAAAGAAUCAAAACCAUUUUUUUCUUUUCUUUUUUUCAAUAUUCCUAUUAAUGGAAUCUUAUAAGCAACAACUUUUCACAAAUGCCAUUGUAAGGAUAUUUUAAAAUAAAUAAAAUCAGAAAUUUUCCUUUUAUUUUAAAAACUUUGCGGAAGAACUUAUCCUUACAAUCCAUAUGAAAACUAGUUGUUAUCUAUUCCUAAGCAAUAUCUCAUAACUCCUAAGAAGUAGCUCAAGAAUCCAAUCUUCAAACUAUGCGAUAGAAAUCCAUCUACGCGAUCAGAUUCAGCAUAUUCUUUCUUUAAGUUUCUUUAUUUUUCUUUGAUUCUUAAAACACCAAGAUGUGACCCAGUCAAAUCAUGUAAUAAGAAUCUCCAAAUAGGAACUUAAUAGAGUUAGACAAUGGACUUUACCUGAAAUAAAGUCAAACUCAUUGACUUUACCAUCCUUAGAUAAGUUUGACAGCUUCGUAACCAAAGCCCCUUCCUUUGGCAAUUUUAACAAAUGGACCCUUUGUUAAUUGUACAUAGGACAAUCACAGACUUAGCUUUUCUCUUUACCAUUUGGUCAACCGAGUUGACUAUGGCAGAUCCCUUUUCAUUGGGAAGAUAAUGCUCUUUCUGGAUUUUCGGUGUCAUCAUUGUCAAUGUCCAUAAAGUUUUAGGAAGUUGAUCUUAGCAAAUAGAUAAGAUCAUUAAGGGUCUUGUCACAGUCUGUUUCAUAAGUGAUUAAACCACCAACUUUCUCAAGACUUUGACACCCAACUCUCCCGGCUUGUCAAUAUGUGACUACAUCUCCAAGAUGUGAUCACACCUAGACCUUGCCUUGCCAAUAGGGCUUGAGUGACCUU
rnacentral:lncRNA from 1 species